GGAUGUCCGUAGAAGAGUUAAAGGAACUGAAGAAGCAGUUAACGGAAUUACAAGAGACUUGGUACAUUCGUCCGAGUUCCUCACCUUGGGGAGCACCGGUUCUGUUUGUACAAAAGAAGGAUGGAUCACAAAGAAUGUGUGUGGAUUAAAGAUCUCUUAAUGAUGUUAUCAUGAAGAAUAAGUAUUUGUUGCCCCGCGUUGAGGAUUUUUUUGAUCAGAGGAGAGGUGCUAGGAUAUUCUCGAAGAUUGAUCUCUGAUCGGGUUAUCAUCAAAUGAAGAUUAGGCCAUUGGAUAUUCCCAAGACGGAUUCCUCGACCCGAUAUGGUUUAUAUAAGUUCAUUAUAUGUCAUUUGAACUAACUAGUGCACCAACCUAUUUUAUGGAUCUGAAGAAUAAGGUGUUCAUGACCUGGACAAAUUCGUCAUGAUUUUCAUCAAUGAUAUUUUUAUUUAGUCCAAGAGUGAUAGUGAUCAUGAGGAACAUCUGAGAUGGGUGCUACAGAAGCUACGAGAUAAUCAACUCUACGCCAAGUACAGUAAAUGCGAGUUUUGGAUUAACGAAGUGUCAUUCCUUGGACAUAUCAUUUCUAAUGGAAGGAUAUUAGUGGAUCCUGCUAAAGUUAAGGAGAUAGUGGUGUGGAGCAUACCCACUACAGUUACGGAGUUUAUUGGGGCUUGCAGGAUAUUAUCGGAGAUUUAUUGAAGGAUUUUCUAAGAUUGCUAAGCCUAUGACCUCACUUCUGGAGAAGGAAAGAGAGUUUAAGUGGGAUGAGAAUGCCAAGAUAGUUUUGAUCAACUAAAGAAGAGGUUAAUGUCACCACUAGUGUUGGUUAUGCCGGAUCUACAGAAAGGAUUUGACAUUUAUUGUGAUGCAUGUGGCCAAGGCUUGGGAUGUGUGCUCAUGCAAGAAGGACACAUGAUUGCCUACACGUCUCAUCAGUUACGGGAACAUGAAUUGAACUACCCCAAUCAUGACUUAGAAUUAGCAGCUGUUGUGCAUGCACUUAAGAUAUGGAGACAUUAUAUCAUGGGAACCAAGUGCCAAGUGUACACGAAUCAUAAGAGUUUGAAGUAUAUAUUCACUCAGAAAGAUCUCAACCUUAGGCAACGCCGUUGGUUGGAGCUUAUUAAGGAUUAUGGUUUGGAGAUUCACUAUCACCCGGGCAAGGCGAAUUUGGUUGCAGAUGCCUUGAGUCGAAAGGAGCAUGUUCAUUCAGCUGUUGUUGCCCAGCUACCUGAUGAGAUUGUUGAGGAUUUCAGGAGACUCAACCUGGGGAUAGUUGCUCACACUGAAGGAGUUACUAUUGAUGUGGAACCUACUUUGGAGCAAGAAAUCUGCAAAGGACAAAUUGGUGAUGCUAAAAUACAAGAGAUUAAGGAUCCGAUUACUGAAGGUCGAGGUCCAGAAUUUAUGGAAGAUGAGCAAGGCACCAUAUGGUUCAAGGACAGGAUAUGUGUUCCUAAUAUUGAAAGUCUUCGUGAGACUAUAUUGAAGGAGGCCCAUGACUCGGAUUAUUCUAUUCAUCCUGGUGGUACCAAGAUGUAUCAGGAUUUGAAGCAGAAGUAUUGGUGGUAUGGAUUGAAGAGAGAUGUGGCUGCACAUGUGGCUAUGUGCGAUGUGUGUCAAAGAGUUAAGGCUGAACACCAGAGGCCAGUUGGACUAUUACACCCACUUAAGAUACCCGAAUGGAAGUGGGAAAAGAUUGGUAUGGACUUCAUGACUGGAUUGCCUCGCACCCAAAAAGGUUAUGAUUCUAUAUGGGUGAUUGUGGAUAGAUUGACUAAAGUAGCUCACUUCAUUCAUGUCAAGACUACUUAUAAGUGAUCUCAAUUGGCUAAGUUAUAUAUGGCUUGGAUUGUGUCUCUACACGGUGUACCAAAGAAGAUCAUUUUGGAUAAAGGAUCACAGUUUACCUCCAGAAUUUGGAAAAGUUUUCAUGAGAAUAUGGAUACGAAGUUGAAUUUUAGUUCGACUUACCAUCCUCAGACCGAUGGACAGACUGAAAGGACUAAUCAAGUAUUGGAGGACAUGUUGAGAGCUUGUGCCCUUCAGCAUGGUAGUAGUUGGGACAAGAGUCUACCUUAUGCUGAGUUCUCAUAUAAUAAUAGUUACCAGGUCAGUCUAAAAGAUGUCACCAUUCGAGACUCUAUAUGGCAGGAAGUGCGGGACUCCUCUACAUUGGUACCAGACUGGAGGAAGACAGUUCUUUGGACCUAAACUUAUUCAAGAGGCAGGAGAACAAGUCCGUAUAAUUCGGGAUAAUUUGGGGGUAGCUCAGACCAAACAAAAGAGCUAUGCGGAUAAUAGAAGAAGACCACUGGAAUUUCAGGAAAGAAAUCAUGUGUACCUCAAGGUGUCACCACUUCGUGGAAUGAGGAGAUUCAAAGUUAAGGGCAAAUUGUGUCCUUGCUUUAUUGGACCCUUUAGAGUUUUUUUAGGCCAGUUGGAGAGAUGGACUAUCAACUCGAGCUACCUGAUAAUCUAUCUGAUGCGCAUAAUGUAUUUCAUGUGUCUCAACUUAAGAAGUGUCUCCGUGUCCCUGAGGAAUAGUUACCAAUGGAAGAGCUCAGUGUUCAGGAUGAUUUGACUUACACGGAGCAUUUUCUAUCAAGAUUUUUGAUACAUUGACUCGAGUUACAAGAAAUGAAGUUAUUAAGAUGUGCAAAGUACAAAGGAGUCACCAUGGAGAAGAUGAAGCUACUUGGGAGAGAGAAGAAGAGCUUCGCAUAGAUUUUUCCACAUUUUUUCCCUAGUCCUUCCUAAAUCUCGAGGACGAGAUUAUUUUUUAAGGGGGGUAGGAUUUGUAAUACCCAUUUUGUAAAAGAAAUAAAAGGAGAAUUUCUUUUCCUUUAUAUGUGAUUUCUCCAUUUAUCAUCACAUAUGAACGCUUCAUUUGAAAACAAAUAAUUAAUAAGAAUGUAUACCACUAAAUUAUGCAUCAUGCUGGGGUUUUAUUUGGUGUGCAUUUUGUGACAACAUAAAAUGACGAGAAAAAUAUUAAAGCUUAAAGUGGAAUUUAAAUUCUAAAAGGAAUUCCAGAAUUUAGAAAAGAAAAGCAAACAAAUAUUAUGUGAUAUAAAAAUAAUUGGACCUUUCAUAUUAUUGGGUUCAAUAUGUACAUUUAAAAUGAUUAUAAGCUCACAAACAAAAUUGAAUUCAAAUUUGAAUUCUAGAAAUUAAAAGGAACAGAAAACAGAAAAUAAAAGAAUAAAGAAAAAAAGCCUGUGCCUUGGGCCAAACCCUGAUUCUGGCCCACUCGCGCCAUUACACUGCGUGGCCCGUUCCAAUUUUUUCUCUCAUCCCGCGCGGCCCACCAAGUUCUCCCCACCUCUGGCUGCGCGACGCACGUUGACGUGUGGGCCCCUCCCGCAAGCCACUUACGCAUGCACAACUUGGUCCCUCGGCGCUGAUCGGUGGACCCCAUAGGUCAGCCCCUCUAUCCCAGUGUCUGCGUAGGCACGACCUCAUUUCCCAGUCACUGCUAUGUGGGCCCGCACCCGGGAGGGUCUUCUUCCCCGUAUAACUCGGACCACGCCGUUGCGGGGGAUCGGCCGUGAUCUCAGGUGACCGCCCUCCUGCUCGGACUUAGUCUAGGGUAUAAAACUGUGUCCUCCCCAACCCUACGCACCGCGCCGCCUCAGCCCUUACACGUCCCAGCCACGCUCGCCCACUGUGUGCCGUCGUGGAGAGAUAGAGAGAAAUGGGAGAUCUGUCGCCGCCGUCGAUCGGUGACCACACCGUCGCAAGUGUUGUCCGCGAGUGCAGAGAGGAUAGCCGGACGCCACGGAAACCGACCGUUGACUCACCAGGGGAAUUCGAUCCCCAGACGACCUUCAAUUUCUCACCGUCGCGCAGCGACGCCAUGAAUCUGUCGUGCGCCAUGGACCUGCGUUCCUCCGUCCUCACCGCUGGUAUGCACCCCGCUGUUGAAUUCAACAUCAUCCCCUCCAUGUGUAGCACCUUUCAGUUGGGUGAUUUGCGCGCCAGUGGGUAAAUCGCACAGCUCCGGCGAACUUUGCCUCAGGGAAGCUUGGCGCCGCCGUCUGCGCGUGUCGGGGGGUUGAGGGUAGGCUGUAUACCGAUCGUCGAUGGUUGUGAUUAGAUCUGGGGGGAAAGUGCGUGAACCACUAAUCUGAUCACUGACGGCUGCGAUUAGAAGCCAUGUAUCCCUUCGCGACUUUAUCUGGUGACUGUUAGAUCGAGAUCCUACGGCUACUAAGGAGUACAAGUGCAUAAUGUGUGCGGCCCAAUCCAUGCCGCCUACCGCUGAUCCAACGGUCCAGAUUACAUCCAGAAAACCCCCUUCGUUUGUUUAAAUCUGAGCCUUCCAUCUCAAGUCCAGCGGCCAGUGAUUAACCAUACCCCUUUGGCCGCACACAUUAUCAAAUGAGCCCCUGUGCUUUCUCGUAAUUGACCCGCGGUGCAGCGCAUAGUAUUCUGAGUCUUAGAAUAUUACACGCAAAAACCCCUGAUCUUUGUGGCAAAACUGCCCGAAUUAUUCCAACUUAAGUGCCUAAGUCCCACCUCAGAGGCUAGACCACACUUAAAUGGGAAUAACCCGUCAAUCCCUCGGAUUUAGUCCGACGAGGCCACUGACAGGAUCAAGUACCACAGUCUCACUCGAUGGUGAGUCAUGGAGCAAAUACAAUAAAGCAUAAAACCAAACAUUAAGGAGUUUUAAAUUAUUACAUCAUCAUCGGAGUUUUUGCAAAAGUAGUCAUCAUUGUUCGAAAUGCAGCGGAAUAAAACUAACGGUAAGUAAACAGAGAUAUAGGGAAGCCUGUCCCAUCACUCCUCAUGCUCCUCCUCAGCCGAGGCGGGGUCCCACUCGACAGUCCAACCCGGUGGCAAGAUGGACGGCCAAGUCACUCCAGCAACCAUGUCCUCCAGAGAACCUGUAAAAAUUAUGCCACAAGCAAGGCUGAGUAUACUAAUACUCAGCUAGACUUACCAGGUGUGAGGAGUCUACUCCUCUACCUCUAGACAUGCAGCUGUUUGGCUGUGGGGUUUGGCUGCCCAAAGCACUAGCUGAGUUUAUAAAUCAAGUUUUAGCUUUGUCAAGUUUAAGUGUGACUCUCUUAAGGCUAAAAGUGUACUAUCUACUCAUACAUGGUAGCAAACAUAUUUAGCAAUCAACAUCUUGUGUCAACUCAUCACAUUUCCACUUGUUACUCAAUGCAGUACAAUGGAUCAAGCAGUCUCAUUAGCUGCGAGAAGCAGACGAUUCGAAUCGAGUUUUUAUCCUUGCAAGGUAAACCUAAACACACGACAUAUAGGGGCACUCUGUCCCCACACAUAUCAACCGUCCCCAUCGAUUCCCUGGCAACAGAUCAGGGCUCACCGCCUUGGCGUACAAUGCCUCACUGACCCCGACUGCCGUCGUGCAGUGAUCGCACUUGUACCCACCAUAACCGGAAUGGGAGACCACGUCUCAGGUCGCGUGAGGGGAUAUGUCUGCAGGCAGGUUCACUCAGGUACUAGGCUUACCGAUUUACCAUAUUUCUCGGUAUGUGUUUAGUACGUUCAAACGCUUGACACAGGUAUCCGCACGUUAAUCCUUAUUCCAAUUUUCCAUCUCGUAGACAACCAAUCCCCAUGGAUUGUUGUCCACAGACCAAUCAUCAAUAUGAUAUGAAAGUGGGUACAACCAAUUCCUGACCUCGCGUGAGUGCUAGAAAAAUCACUCGACUUCUACCGAGAUCCUAAUUAAUAAAGCAGCUACUCGACCUACCAUACUAGUAUUCAUCUCAAUAGGAUUCCUGAGAUCAUGCAAUUAGGGUUUCAAACAACUCCUACACUUAAGUGCACAUUCAAUCCUACAAUCAUUAAGUGUAGUAAAAUAGCAUAAAUAAUAGGUUAUGCAUAAACCAGGGCUUGCCUUCCAAAGCUGUGGCAGGCAGAUCCUCUGGUGCAGGUUCUGGUGCUGGAUCCGGGGCUACCUCCUGAGCAACUCCUUGCUCCGGCAUGAGGACGUACUCUCCGUCAGCGAGGUUUCAAUCUAUUGAAUGCAAUGAAUAUGUAUGUCAUGAUUAUGCGGGGUUUAACAACAUUAUGCUAAAGGAAGAAAAACUAAGUUAGUUAGUAACUUAGGGUUUCUUGGUCAUACGUGGCUUUUAGUGGUUUAUGCUUAUCACUCUAGGUUUAGGUUUGUUAAGGCUAAGCAUAGUGGAUUUGUAUUUCCCUUAUAUAAUUCAGUGGACAAUUUACAAAGGGUUUUAGGGUGACACUAAUUUCCAUCAUUCAUUUUCUCCUUUAUUUUUUUAUUUAUGAAUUCUAGUGUGGGUUUGAACUACAACAGUGGUUUAACUUUUUCCAAAAAUUCUGUAAAAAUUACAGUGGGUUGCCAUUCGUCACUAUAGUCUGUUCUAGGAAUUUGAGGUUCAGAAUAAAAAGACUAUGCCUUGGACAAAAAUAACAAAAGUUGGGCAAAGGGGUCACUUUGCACUACAACUCUUAACUAGGUGUGGGUUCUGUCCUAAGGGUUAUUUUUGUUGGUAUCUAAUAGUAAUAACAUGCAUCUGUGCCAAAAAUCAAAGAAAGUUAAUUGGUGGUUAUUUAGUUGCGAUUUUCUAAAGUUUAAUGUCAAAAAGGCACUUUCUACUGCCUUGUUAUUUGAAAAAUGCCAAACAGCAAAUUUCAUAUUUUUCCUAUGUUUUUAAUAACAAAACAUUACUUAUCCCAAGGUUUGGGGUGUUUUCACUUUGAGGUUAUUUUUCUAGGGUUUUUCUAAGUUUUCCUUGUUUUCUUAAAAUAAAAAGUAUCCCAAUUAUUUUGUACUAAACCAAGGUAUAAUAAAUUUUUCUAGUGAACUAUACUGAAUAAGUGGACUAACAAAAAUAUGGGUGCUCCCUGGUUCUUUAUUUAAAUUACCUUUCCUAUUUUCUUUAACUUUAUGCACAAUGUGAAAUAAAUGGCAAACUCUACCUAAAUGGGGUGUACAGAGGGGUUUAUCAUUUUUAAAUAGGUCAGUAGGUGGUCAAGUACUUCUCUAAAUUUUCUUAACCUCAGUUAAAUAAUGCAACUAUUUUUAGCCUUUGGCCAAAUCAAUAUUUAAACCAGAACCUUAAAGUUUUCUUUAACAUUUAGGGGUUUUAUAUUUUUCUUAAGUAGUUUACAUUAUUUAAAAUCUAGCAAAAUUGGUUUGACUUGAUUUGGGUGGAUAAAACAGAAGAUAUGAAUUAUUCAAGUUCUGUUUGAAUUUAAAUCAGGUUAAAUAAAUGGUUUCCUGGAAAAACCACUUUGCACCGAAGUCCUCGGGUUCUUUCCAAACUAACUCUCUCAGUUAUACCCCUGCGCUACUAUUCCCCUGAGUCACUGACAAUGCGCAAAACCCCCUAGCCUUUUCUUCUUCUCCCCCGCGGUCCCUCCCUAGGUUUAAACAGUACCCGCGAGACAGAAAAGGGUGGCGCGGCUUACCGGCGGCGAGAGAGGUCCGGCGAGGGGCGGGGUUGGCUCCGGGAGGUCCUGGCGGUCACAACGGUGUACGGCUCGACGGCGGGGGUGGCCGGAAUCGUCCGGUCCACGCGCAGGCGGGUGGUCUCGUCGGCGGCGGUUGUUCCGGCUAAACCACGGCGAUCUAGUUCAAUCAAAGGGCACGAUGAGCUUCACGGGGUGACGUAGAGGCUGUGUGCACAAGGAAUCGAAGAAUGGAGCAGAGGAUUACCCGGUCUACGCUCACCGGCGGUCGGGCGAAGUCCGGCGACCGUGGACUGGCUUCUCCGGCGAAGCAAACUCCGAUUCCUCGCUCGGGGAGCUUCACCAAGGCGUGCACAGUCUCUUCCAAGGGUCGGGCGUGGCUGGGAAGGGCUCGGUUUGCCGGUCUACGGUGGCGGGGGAUCGGGCGGCCGCGGGCACGCCGUGCACGGGCAAACGCCGGUGGCUUUGGGCUCCGGUGAGGUCGAGCGCGUGCGGAGGGGUACGGUCGAAGUCCCUGGGUGCUUUAUAGGCGCGGGCGCGGGCCAUGGCGCCGGCUUGGCUUUGGCGCGACGCGGGGCACGCGGGGGCGCGCGUCGGGCGGGCUCUGGCGAGCUCAGAGCGCGUCGAACACGUGGCUCUUUGCUUCUGCCUCUGUUCUUCCCUCUGCUAAGCGGCCAAAACGUAUGAAUCUAGCCCUAGGACCUGUGAGAGAUCUCUUCCCUGCACCUAGAGCUACCUAGUUCAUGUGAGUUCCAAGGGUAGAUGUGGUCGGGUUAGAGAUAUACGGGGGUGGGAAGUCGGCUAUGUCAGAGAUGUCCAAACCGAGACAAAACUGGUGCCAAGUCGUGUCAAACGACUUAGGGUUGGGCUCAACCCUUUCCAGGGUGUUCUAGAGGUAUUUUGGCGCCACUUUGUCAAUUAGGUCAAAUGUUUUGAAGUUUGAAAGAGGGUGAACAUGUGUGAUCUUUAGCCAAGGGUUGGUUUUGGACUUAGAAAAAUCCUGAUUUUUCUUUUGUGCUCAACCCUUUGGUGGACCUUUUGGGGCUUUUUUGAAAUCUUUUUGGGGUUAUUUUCUUAAUAUUAUUUGUAGGUUAUUAAGUGUACUACAACUUUUAUAUUUGGCCUAAGCCAUGAUCAUAUGGUUCUCAUGCCCCUUUGGUCAUAAUUACUUCUAGGGUUCCCAUUGUCCAAAGGGGGGUUUACAUUAAGUUUUGGGCAAAUCUCCCCUUUAUACUUGCAUAACCAGCCAAGGUAUGACAUCUAAGAUGUGUUACACUUACUUAGGAUUUGGAUUUCCAAGUUUGGUGUACUUUGCUCAAACUAAACCACAUGUGAUAGUAGGUUUAAAUGGUGUAGCCAUGGGUGAACACCCUAAGUAACACCUGAGGUGUUACAGCCCUCCCCCCUUAAAGGAAUCUCGUCGUGAGAUUUUAGGUAGAGUCCCUUGGAGGGGUGCCGUGAAGGUGUGUUGGGGUGCUACCCUUUUCUUUAUCCAAGUUUUUCUUGUUAACUGCUCUUCGAAUGUCAUUCUCUUUGCGACUUCAGAAGGAAGUCCUUUUUAAGUCAAAUCCACAACUUCGACUAUCCUUAUCAUCUAAGUUUUUCUUAUAUUUGUAUUCAAAGGGCAGGUGGGGGGGUUUUGGGGUUACAUACCGACUCUUUUGGGCAGAAAGUCGGGGAAGCGAGAGCAUAGAAAAUCCUCAGUCUCCCAUGUAGCUUCUUCUACUGAAUGGUGACUCCAUUGAACCUUAUACAUUCGGAUCGAUCUUGCCCGUGUUGACCUCUCUUUCUGAUCCAAUACCUUGACGGGGUACUCUUGAUAGGACAAGUCUGGUUCUAUCUCAAUGUCUAGUUCAGGUAGCACUUCCGUGGGUAGACGGACACAUUUCCGUAGCUGAGAUACAUGAAACACAUUGUGAACUCCUGACAUGUGGGGUGGUAAUUCCAAUUGAUAGGCUACGGGUCCACAACUUGCUUUGAUCUCAUAGGGUCCAAUGUAGCGAGGAGCUAACUUGCCCUUGAUCCCAAAUCUCUAGGCACCCUUGGUGGGUGAUACCUUAAGAUAAACAUGAUCUCCCACUUCAAACUGCAGAGGUUUCCUCCUCCUGUCAUGAUAACUCUUUUGCCUGGCCUGAGCAGCUUCUAAGUUCUUCGUAAUAACUCUGACCCUAUCCUCUGCUUCAAGCACCAAGUCUGGUCCAAAUAUUUCCCUCUCUCCUACUUGAGACCAAUUUAGCGGGGUCCUACACCUUCUCCCAUACAAGGCUUCAAAAGGUGCCAUCUUCAAACUGGACUGGUAGCUGUUAUUAUAAGAAAACUCUGCCAAAGAAAGACACUUGUCCCAAUCCUUUCCAUAGUGUAACACACAUGCCCUCAACAUGUCUUCCAAAAUCUGAUUUACCCUUUCUGUCUGGCCAUCUGUUUGAGGAUGGUAUGCUGAGCUUCAUAUUACCUGGGUCCCAAGUGAUUCUUGUAGCUGCUCCCAAAAGUGUGCCACAAAUAGUGCUCCUCUGUCAGAUACAAUGGUUUUUGGAAUACCAUGCAAAUGCACUAUUUGAUCAACAUAGAUUUCUACAUAUUUCUCUGUCUUGUGGGUGGUAUGAAGUGGCAAGAAAUGAGCGGUCUUGGUCAAUCUGUCUACAAUAACCCAAAUGGAAUCAUGGUGCCAGGAGGUAUUGGGCAAUCCCACGAUAAAAUCCAUGCAGAUGUCCUCCCAUUUCCAAGAUGGUAUGGGAAGGGGUUGCAAAGUGCCUGCUGCCUUCAAAUGACUGGCUUUGAUUCUCUGGCCGGUAUCGCACUCGGAUAUGUACUUGGCAAUUUCCCUCUUCAUUCUGGUCCACCAGUAUAAGGAUCUGAGAUCGUGAUACAUCUUGUUGCUGCCGGGGUGCAUGGAGAAUUUUGAAAGGUGAGCUUCAUCCAAUAUCUUCUUUCUGAGCUCAGGGUCCUUGGGAACAACCAAUCGAUCUCCAAACCAUAGAAUUCCCUUGCUGUCCUGACGGAAGCAUUUGUAUUUUUCUGCUUUCUGCUUGAUCAUUUCCUUGAUAACCUGAACACCCUUGUCUUCAAUCAGUGCCCUGACUAUCUGCUCUUGUAAUGUGGGCUCCACCGACAUAUAGUUCAAAGCACCUGAAGAAACAACUUCCAGGUUUAGCUUGCACAACUCAUCACACAGGGUGGUAACUCUUGCAUCCAUGCUCAUACAAUUGCACUCGGCCUUUCUGCUCAAGGCAUCUGCCACAACAUUGGCCUUGCCAGGAUGGUAAUGCACCUCCAAAUCAUAGUCCUUGAUUAACUCUAACCAUCUCCUCUGCCUCAUGUUAAGUUCUGCUCGAGUGAAAAUGUAUUUGAGACUCUUAUGAUCAGUGUAAAUGUUACAGUGAGCUAUCAUCAAGUAAUGUCUCCAUACCUUGAGAGCAUGAACCACAGCUGCUAACUCCAGAUCAUGUGUAGGGUAGUUCUGCUCAUGGGGUCUAAGUGCUCGGGAGGCAUAAUCAAUUACUCUGUUGUCUUGCAUUAAGACACAUCCCAAACCAGUACCGGAAGCAUCACAAUAAACUUCAAAGGGCUUGGUGUUAUCAGGUUGAGCCAGCACUGGGGCUGUUGUCAAAUGUUGCCUUAGCGUAUGAAAGGCAGCUUCACACUUCUGGCUCCAAUUAUACUUAACUCCCUUCUUCAACAGUUCAGUCAUUGGCUUGGCAAUUCUGGAGAAAUUCGAAAUGAAUCAUCGAUAAUACCAUGCCAAUCCCAGAAAACUCUGAAUCUGCCUCACUGUAGUUGGGGGUUUCCAAUCCAUCACCUCUUGCACCUUCUCAGGAUCAAUAGAUAUCCCAUCCUGAGAAAUUGUGUGACCCAAGAAUUUAAUUUCCUUCAGCCAGAAUUUACAUUUAGACAAUUUGGCAUACAACUGAUGGUCACGCAGUCUCUGAAGUACAGUGUGCAAAUGUUUAGUGUGCUCGGCUUCAUUCUUGGAAUAAACCAGAAUAUCAUCAAUGAAAACGACCACAAAUUUGUCCAACUCUGGCAUGAAUACUGAGUUCAUCAGGUACAUAAAAUAAGCCGGGGCAUUGGUCAGCCCAAAAGACAUCACCAAAAACUCAUAAAGCCCAUAUCUGGUCGAGAAAGCCGUCUUCGGAAUAUCACUGGCACGGAUCUUGAUCUGAUGGUAACCCGAGCAAAGAUCUAUCUUGGAGAACACUUUGGCUCCCACCAACUGAUCAAACAAAACAUCAAUGCGGGGCAGUGGGUAUUUGUUUUUGAUGGUCACCGCAUUGAGAGGGCGGUAAUCAACACACAUUCUCAGACUUUCAUCCUUCUUCUUUACAAACAAGGCUGGGCAUCCCCACGGUGAAGUACUUGGGCGAAUGAAUCCCAUGUCCAAUAACUCUUGCAGUUCCUUUUUCAGUUCUGCCAAUUCCGCAGGAGGCAUCCUAUAGGGUCUCUUAGAGAUAGGAGCAGUCCCGGGUUGCAAUUCAAUUGCGAACUCAAUGUCUCUAUCAGGUGGCAUUCCUGGCAAUUCAUCCGGAAAACAUCUGGGUAGUCACAGACCACUGGGAUACUUUCCACUGAGGAUUCUAUCAUAACGAAGGCACAAGAACGGGCACAACCGUGGUCGGGCAAAUAUAAUGUGGUUUCACCACAGGUCAGUGAGUGCACUUCAAUGGCCCUAGCUGCAAUAUCAAUCACAGCCUGAUGUUUGGUCAACCAGUCAGUUCCCAAUAUGAUAUCCACACUAUCCAAACCCAAAAUGAGGAGGUUGGUUUUAAUUAUCAGACUACCAAACUUUAUAGGCACAUUCUUGUUGAUUUGGUAGGUGGCAACCCUGCCUCCUGGGGUUGAAAUUGUAAUACCCCCAUUGGUUUGGUGAAAAGGUAACUGACACUUGGCACUAAAUUUGGCACUGAUAAAACUAUGCGAUGCACCAGAAUCAAAAAGAAUAAUAGCAGGAUAAUUCAAAACUGUAAAGAUACCAGUCAGGACGGGUGCUCCCUCUAGAAUAUCAGCCAUGGUGGUGAAGUUCAGCCUGCCUUGCCUCACUUGCACCUUCUGCCUCUUGCCUUGAUUCUGAUUAACAUUCUGCCCCUGCCUCUGCUAGUUUCUGGGGCAAUUCUUGGCAUAAUGUCUGGUGUUGCCACAUGUGAAACACCUGUUGUCAUUUGCCUGGCGAUAUUGUUGCUGCUGUUGAUUGUUCCUCUGAGCUGGAAACUGGGUGCGGUUGGGUGCCUGUUGUUGCUACUGUGGUCGGAUCACCCAUCGCCCUUGCUGCUGCUGAGGUCCCCUGUUCUGAGUGUCAGACACAAUCCUGAAGCGCUGUGGCUGAGCUGAAUGUCCUACCACAGGGGUCUUCCUCUUCUUCUCUGCUUGACGAGCUGUGAUACAGUCCUCCUGGGAGAUGGCCAUGUUGACUAACUCAUUAUAGUUGUUGGCCCUGACGGUGUUGAGACGGUCACGGAGCUUAGUGCUGAGCCCCCUUCUGAACCUGUCCCUCUUCUUCUCGUCUGUGUCUGCAUGAUACCCGGCAUACUGGCACAGGUCAUUGAAGGCCUGAGCAUACUGUAGCACUGUCCGAUUCCCUUGAGUGAGUGCCAGAAACUCGUUGAGCUUUCGGUCCAUAAUACCUACUGGUAUAUGGUGCCCCCUGAAAGCUGCCUUGAACUCUCUCCAUUCCACCUCUCGGUCAUCUGGCUCCAUGGCAAGAAAAUGGUCCCACCAAGUCUUUGCGGGUCCGCGAAGCUGCUGGGUGGCGAACCUGACCUUAGUGACCUCUGAGCAAACUCCAUGGAGUAGCGGGAAUUUGGAUUCCACUACUCUCAACCAUACAUCCGCAUCAAGUGGGUCCUCAGACCUGGUGAACAAUGGUGGCUAGGUACUGAGGAACUCCUGGUAGGUGGCUGCUGCGGGGUGACGCUGAUGAUCACCACCACCAUAGUGCUGGGGUGGCGGCUGACGCUGAGCUAGCUGCCUCAAGAUCUCAUUCUGCUGGGCCAUUAGCUCCUGCAGAGUAGGAGGCGGUGGCGGCGGUGGAGGAACGCGCUCAUUUUGACCACGACGCGCUCUCCCGGCCAUCUGAAAAAUCACAUAUAUUCUCAAUAACACAUCUUUAAGGUUCAAGGUUCAAUCGCGAUGAAAGAGUCAAAAGGCGAAACUGAUAGAUUCUUGCAUAAUCAUAAAAGAUUUCACAUUGCAUAAAUUUCCUUCUUAAAUUAAGACUAACAUCAUCCAUCAACCAUGCUUCCAAAAGAGUUUAUCACGAUUACAUCAAUAGCCCAAAAGACUCAACUCUAUCUAGCCUAGUACCCCAAGGGUGCAAAAGCUAAGCUAGCUUCGAGGAGUUCGACUAUCACCGACUUCUAGCUCUAUCCCUGGUACCUAGUGAGCGAACGAGGCAACACUCGACUCGGGGGAAGGUGGUCUCCCUGAGCCAGCAGUGUCCAAGCUAGAGGUAGGCUCCUCUCCUCCCUCGAUGUCGACAUCCUCGUUGGCCUCCAUGUCCUAGAUCUCCUAGUGAUGAAUAUCCAGGUGCUCAUUAGCCUCGGCAAGCUACUGCUGGGUGUUGAUAAGCUGAUCCUCGAGAACCUCGAUGGUGUUCUCCCUUGUUCCCACCAGUUCCUCAAGCUCUUGGAUCUCGUUUGACAGCUGCUCCACCUGUAAGUCUUUUUCCACCAUCUUAGUGGACAAAUCAACCACAAGCUCCGCUCUGUUAUCCAGGGUGAUCUUAGUUGCCUCCAACAAUGCCAUCAGAUGGGACAUUGCCUCACCACGCAUCACUUGCAGGCGGUACAGGGCAUUCAUGCACCAUACUGUCAAGUGAGCAGUCUGACCUGGGUAGAUAGCCCAGAUAUCCUUGGCAUGCUCCACUCGGUCCUUCCACAUUGGGUCGUCCUCCUUCUCAGCGGGGAACAAGCCAAUGGGGUGGGUGGACAGCUCCAAGGGGUGGAAUCCGCAGAAAGUGGUCAAUCCGUGCAGAGCAAUCGCCUCGAUCGUAUCCUCAGCCCGGUAUCCAAAGGACUCGGAGUCCAGCGAACGCCAGCCUGGCUGCAGGGGAUGAGGCUCCAGGGUCAUCCUCACCCUACAGCGGGGCACUCGGUGCUUCUCGAACUGCUGCACCGCGUACUGGGGAGGCGUCGUGUAACCGGCCCCCUGAAGUACCUCCCACAAGAUACGGGGAAAGCCCUCUCGUGCAAGCCCUUCAGUGUGGGACAGUGCAUUCCCUUCGUCCGAGGAUCCGUGGGAAGUCAUUUGUGUACGGUUAAGCGUAAGUAAAAGAAAAAGAAUUAUAAAAAGAAAAGGAAACACAACUCAGCCUCUCUUCUAACUACAACAAUGGUACUGGGGUACUUAGUUGGUCAUCAGUUUGUAUUAAAGUUCUUACCCAAUUAUCCAUUAGUUUAAUUAAGAAUGCAUGCAUGCUCGUCCUGAACGACCUCACAUCAACGUAAAGGGAAUAGGGAAGAACCCCCAUCCCUUAUAGUAGCCUGUAGGGCUCAAUCACUUAGCCACCUAACUACCCCUCUAUCCCCCUAAGGCUUCACGUCCUAGGUCUAUCCUGAUCGUCCUACGAUCUAUCCAACAUUUGUUUCUAUCAAGUUUUACUUUGGAAAAGGAUGGUAUUUAUAGUUUAUUGAUUCCUCUGUGGUGGUACAAGCUCCGAUACCAGCUGUGGCGGAACUACCUGAAUUAUUCCAACUUAAGUGCCUAAGUCCUGCCUCAGAGGCUAGACCACACUUAAAUGGGAAUAACCCGUCAAUCCCUCAGAUCUAGUCCGACGAGGCCACUGACAGGAUCAAGUACCACAGUCUCACUCAAUGGUGAGUCACAGAGCAAAUACAAUAAAGCAUAAAACCAAACAUUAAGGAGUAUUAAAUUAUUACAUCAUCAUCGGAGUUUUUGCAAAAGUAGUCAUCAUUGUUCGAAGUGCAGCGGAAUAAAACUAACGGUAAGUAAACAGAGAGAUGGGAAGCCUGUCCCAUCACUCCUCAUGCUCCUCCUCAGCCGAGGCGGGGUCCCACUCGACAGUCCAACCCGGUGGCAAGAUGGACGGCCAAGUCACUCCAGCAACCAUGUCCUCCAGAGAACCUGUAAAAAUUAUGCCACAAGCAAGGCUGAGUAUACUAAUCCUCAGCUAGACUUACCCGGUGUGAGGAGUCUACUCCUCUACCUCUAGACAUGCAGCUGUUUGGCUAUGGGGUUUGGUUGCCAAAAGCACUAGCUGAGUUUAUAAAUCAAGUUUUAGCUUUGUCAAGUUUAAGUGUGACUCUCUUACGGCUAAAAGUGUACUAUCUACUCAUACAUGGUAGCAAACAUAUUUAGCAAUCAACAUCUUGUGUCAACUCAUCACAUUUCCACUUGUUACUCAAUGCAGUACAAUGGAUCAAGCAGUCUCAUUAGCUGGGAGAAGCAGACGAUUCGAAUCGAGUUUUUAUCCUUGCAAGGUAAACCUAAACACACGACAUAUAGGGGCACUCCGUCCCCACACAUAUCAACCGUCCCCAUCGAUUCCCUGGCAAUAGAUCAGGGCUCACCACCUUGGCAUACAAUGCCUCACUGACCCCGACUACCGUCAUGCAGUGACCGCACUUGUACUCACCAUAACCGGAAUGGGAGACCACGUCUCAGGUCGCGUGAGGGGAUAUGUCUGCGGGUAGGUUCACUCAGGUACUAGGCUUACCGAUUUACCAUAUUUCUCGGUAUGUGUUUAGUACGUUCAAACGCUUGACACAGGUAUCCGCACGUUAAUCCUUAUUCCAAUUUUCCAUCUCGUAGACAACCAAUCCCCAUGGAUUGUUGUCCACAGACCAAUCAUCAAUAUGAUAUGAAAGUGGGUACAACCAAUUCCUGACCUCGCGCGAGUGCUAGAAAAAUCACUCGACUUCUACCGAGAUCCUAAUUAAUAAAGCAGCUACUCGACCUAGCAUACUAGUAUUCAUCUCAAUAGGAUUCCUGAGAUCAUGCAAUUAGGGUUUCAAACAACUCCUACACUUAAGUGCACAUUCAAUCCUACAAUCAUUAAGUGUAGUAAAAUAGCAUAAAUAACAUGUUAUGCAUAAACCGGGGCUUGCCUUCCAAAGCUGUGGCAGGCAGAUCCUCUGGUGCAGGUUCUGGUGCUAGAUCCGGGGCUACCUCCUAAGCAACUCCUUGCUCCGGCACGAGGACGUACUCUCCGUCAGCGAGGUUGCAAUCUAUUGAAUGCAAUGAAUAUGUAUGUCAUGAUUAUGCGGGGUUAACAACAUUAUGCUAAAGGAAGAAAAACUAAGUUACUUAGUAACUUAGGGUUUCUUGGUCAUACGUGGCUUUUAGUGGUUUAUGCUUAUCACCUUAGGUUUAGGUUUGUUAAGGCUAAGCAGAGUGGAUUUGUAUUUCCCUUAUAUAAUUCAGUGGACAAUUUACAAAGGGUUUUAGGGUGACACUAAUUUCCAUCAUUCAUUUUCUCCUUUAUUCUUUUAUUUAUGAAUUCUAGUGUGGGUUUGAACUACAACAGUGGUUUAACUUUUUCCAAAAAUUCUGUAAAAAUUACAGUGGGUUGCCAUUGGUUACUAUAGUCUGUUCUAGGAAUUUGAGGUUCAGAAUAAAAAGACUAUGCCUUGGACAAAAAUAACAAAAGUUGGGCAAAGGGGUCACUUUGCACUACAACUCUUAACUAGGGGUGGGUUCUGUCCUAAGGGUUAUUUUUGUUGGUAUCUAAUAGUAAUAACAUGCUUCUGUGCCAAAAAUCACAAAAAGUUAAUUGGUGGUUAUUUAGUUGUGAUUUUCUAAAGUUUAAUGUCAAAAGGCACUUUCUACUGCCUUGUUAUUUGAAAAAUGACAAACAGCAGAUUUCAUAUUUUUCCUAUGUUUUUAAUAACAAAACAUUACUUAUCCCAAGGUUUGGGGUGUUUUCACCUUGAGGUUAUUUUUCUAAGGUUUUUCUAAAUUUUCCUUGUUUUCUUAAAAUAAAAGGUAUCCCAAUUAUUUUGUACUAAACCAAGGUAUAAUAAAUUUUUCUAGUGAACUAUACUGAAUAAGUGGACUAACAAAAAUAUGGGUGCUCACUGAUUUCUUAUUUAAAUUACCUUUCCUAUUUUCUUUAACUUUAUGCACAAUGUGAAAUAAAUGGCAAACUCUACCUUAAUGGGGUGUACAGAGAGGUUUAUCAUUUCUUAAGUAGUUUACAUUAUUUAAAAUCCGGCAAAAUUGGUUUGACUUGAUUUGGGUGGAUAAAACAGAAGAUAUGAAUUAUUCAAGUUCAGUUUGAAUUUAAAUGAGGUUAAAUAAAUGGUUUCCUGGAAAACCACUUUGCACCGGAGUCCUCGGGUUCUUUCCAAACUAACUCUCUCAGUUAUACCCCUGCGCUACUAUUCCCCUGAGUCACUAACAAUGCGCAAAACCCCCUAGCCUUUUCUUCUUCUCCCCCGCGGUCCCUCCCUACGUUUAAACAGUACCCGCGAGACAGAAAAGGGCGGCGCGGCUUACCAGUGGCGAGAGAGGUCCGGCGAGGGGCGGGGUUGGCUCCAGGAGGUCCUGGCGGUCACAACGAUGUACGGCUCGACGGCGGGGGUGUCCGGAAUCGUCCGGUCCACGCGCGCAGGCGGGUGGUCUCGUCGGCGGUGGUUGUUCCGGCUAAACCACGACGAUCUAGUUCAAUCAAAGGGCACGAUGAGCUUCACGGGGUGACGUAGAGGCUGUGUGCAUAAGGAAUCGAAGAAUGGAGCAGAGGAUUACCCGGUCUACGCUCACCGGCGGUCGGGCGAAGUCCAGCGACCGUGGACUGGCUUCUCCGGCGAAGCAAACUCCGAUUCCUCGCUCGGGGAGCUUCACCGAGGCGUACACAGUCUCUUCCAAGGGUCGGGCGUGGCUGGGAAGGGCUCGGUUGGCCGGUCUACGGUGGCGGGGGAUCGGGCGGCCGCGGGCACGCCGUGCACGGGCAAACGCCGGUGGCUUUGGGCUCCGGUGAGGUCGAGCGUGUGCGGAGGGGUACGGUCGAAGUCCCUGGGUGCUUUAUAGGCGCGGGCGCGGGCCAUGGCGCCGGCUUGGCUUUGGCACGAUGCGGGGCACGCGGGGGCGCGCGUCGGGCGUGCUCUGGCGAGCUCAGAGCGCGUCGAACACGUGGCUCUUUGCUUCUACCUCUGUUCUUCCCUCUGCUGAGCGGCCAAAACGUACGAAUCUUGCCCUAGGACCUAUGAGAGAUCUCUUCCCUGCACCUAGAUCUACCUAGUUCAUGUGAGUUCCAAGGGUAGAUGUGGUCGGGUUAGAGAGAUACGGGGGUGGGAAGUCGGCUAUGUCAGAGAUGUCCAAACCAAGACAAAACUGGUGCCAAAUCGUGUCAAACGACUUAGGGUUGGGCUCAACCCUUUCCAGGGUGUUCUAGAGGUAUUUUGGCGCCACUUUGUCAAUUGGGUCAAAUGAUUUUGAAGUUUGAAAGAGGGUGAACAUGUGUGAUCUUUACCCAAGGGUUGGUUUUGGACUUAGAAAAAUCCUGAUUUUUCUUUUGUGCUCAACCCUUUGGUGGACCUUUUGGGGCUUUUCUGAAAUCUUUUUGGGGUUAUUUUCUUCAUAUUAUUUGUAGGUUAUUAAGUGUACUACAACUUUUAUAUUUGGCCCAUGCCAUGAUCAUAUGGUUCUCAUGCCCCUUUGGUCAUAAUUACUUCUAGGGUUCCCAUGGUCCAAAGGGGGGUUUACAUUAAGUUUUGGGCAAAUCUCCCCUUUAUACUUGCAUAACCAGCCAAGGUAUGACAUCUAAGAUGGGUUACACUUACUUAGGAUUUGGAUUUCCAAGUUUGGUGUACUUUGCUCAAACUAAACCACAUGUGAUAGUAGGUUUAAAUGGUGUAGCCAUGGGUGAACACCCUAAGUAACACCUGAGGUGUUACAAUCUUCUCUGUAAUUGAUGCCCAGUCCAGAAGAUUAGCAAAUCCAUUAAAAGUAAAUAGAAAUUGAUUUUUAAUGAAUAAAUAAAUGCUAGAAUUUGUUUAAUUCAUAUAAAAUUCAUAUGAGCCCCAAAUUAAUCCAUAACAAUUUAUAAAAUUUUGUAAUAUUAAUGUUUAUCACUUAGAGUCUCUGUUUUGACAUGAAAACAGUAAGAAAAUUAAUAUCUCACUUAAUCCUAUUUUAAGCACAUAAAACUUUUGGAAAUUCAUAUCUUAAAAUCUAUAACCCAAAAAUUAUGAUUUAUGUUCCUAGGAUUAUAUUUUAAUGUGUAGAUUAUUAACAUGUAUUUUGUUUACAUGAUAGGUGUGAUGUUAAUUUUUUCUAUAUACUAUGUAUGUUUGUAUUGUGGCGAGUAGAAGAACCUGUGACUGAGAACCCUGGUGACCAGCAGAUAGAAGUAGCUGAGCAGGAGCUCAUUGAAGGCAAGUUGUGCCCUUGACCACAUUUAUUACCCAAUAAUGCUCUUUCAUGUCAUUAUCCAUGCAUAGGUUUAAUUUUGAUGGGACCCAAUAGGUCACCCUAGAUUGUUUAUCUCUUUACCUUGUUAUCCCUGAAUCACUUGGGUAGCUUUGCUAUUGCUUUACAUGGUUUUGGGAUAAUGUUUCAUUAUAUCCAUGUUCCAAUAUUUUUGUUAUUCUAUUUAUGUUCAUGUCAAGAUCAUUAAUGUUAAUUGGAACAUGGAGCUUAACUUGAGAAACACGUGCCACCACAAGGGUUUAAUGGGACGCCCUUGGCCAACUAACUAGGAAAGCUAGUGGAAGACUACCUUACCCGAAAGGGGCAAGGGCAGUAGGGGAUUGCAUGCAAGGAGGUUCUCGAGUUGAUUUUGCUGUGAUGGCGGUCAGACGGGGGAUUCUUGCAAGUGCUCUUCCCAUAAACUGUAGCGGGUUUUCGGAAGCUAGUUGAACUUUGUAAUGGCCUCGUAGUGGAUCCCUAGCCAUUCACCUCGGUAGUGUCUAAGGGUCUAGCUAGCCCUGGCGACAUGGGAUACACGACUUGUGGGUAAAGGGUACAACCUCUGCAGAGUGUAAAACUGGUAUACUAGCCGUGCUCGCGGUCAUGAGCAGCUCAGGACUCUCUGAUGAUUAAUUUAUGGAACUUAAAUUCAAUUUUUCAUUUGCAUUGCAUGGGAUUAUUAUUAAUUUUGUUCUAUUACUUUAUUUAAGGUUUGGUAUGUACUUACAUUUAGUAAGUGCUAAUAAAGUUUUGACCAACUUAUAAAAGCAAUGCUCAGCUUCAACCUUUAUUUUGUUGAUCAGCCUUACACUUCAUAUGAAAUCCCACUUUUUGAGUUCAUGCCACUUUAUUCCCCACAACUUGUUGAGCGAUGAACAUGUGUGAGCUCACCCUUGCUGUCUCACACCCCCCAUAGGUCAAGAACAAGUACCACUGGAUGGCGCAUGGUGGAUGUUGCGCUGUGUUCGUGAGAGGUCUAUGUCGUCGUCUCCCAGUUGACUUUCUGGCGCCAAGGAUGGAUUUUAGUUCGAUCCUUGUAUAUUUAUCUUUUAUUUUGUAAGACUUCCGCUAUGUAAUAAGUACUCUGAUUAUUGUGACAUUUAUCUCUAUACACUCUGUUAUUAUAUAUGUUGUCUUUUUGGCGCAUGUAUGAGAUGCACCUAGCUUUGUUCCUUAAAUCCGGGUGUGACAAAUAAUAAAUCCAAAAUUCACUAAACUUUUAGGAUAAACUUUAAAUAAUAUUUAGAGGCCUUGGGUAAUGUUGGGUAUGAUUUGGACCAUGUUUGAUACUUAGAACCCAAAACCCUACUCCCUGCCCUUUGAACUUCACUAUUGACUCCGGAAACCCUAAGUUCUCAGAGAUUAUGAAGGAAAGUUGUACUCAAGACUUUAGAUAAUAAACUUUUAUUAUCCUUGCAUCUUCAUGAGCACUACAUGAGCAUUCAUUAUUAUACUUGGCUAUAUUUAGAAAACAAAGAGUAAGUAGAUGUCGAAGAGACAAGGGCUUCAUCACCACCACCACCUAAGGAACAUCAGGUAAGCAGUUGUUUCUAUUUUGAUAGCUGCGGAUCCGAGCCUGAUUCACCAGUAACACAAGGCAAGCCCCGGUGCAUUUGCCACCUCCUCGUUCCUUUUAAAAUCUUUCUCACUUGCUUGAUGCAUUAGGUGAUAGGAGUUGUGUGCUAAACCAAUUCCUGCAUUUCCUUCCUUGAAUAUGAUUACCUCCCUUUGAAUCCCUGUUUUACAAAAGGUUUUUGUUAUGCUUAGUUUUGCUUUAGAAAAACAAAAUGUUUUGUUUUUACAAAAGAUGAUGAUGCAAAGUGGGAGGGAUGUUUUUGAAAAUAAAACUUGAUGGUGGAUCCAUCAUGGCCAUGAUGGAUUCAACAUCGGAAAAAAUGUACCUCUGACAGGUACCAAACUUUGGGUUUGAAAUGAUAAAGCUGAGACCGGGCAGGUGACUUGCACGAGAAGAGAGUCUCGGUGUAGUGUCUCCGUCUAAGUCGAUUAAGGACUGUCUCGAUGUAGGCUUGCUGACCGAGGACCCUUUAACUGGUCACAUGCCUCAUCAUGGGUAAGCUUUGCCCCAGGCAGACUAAUACCAGAAUAAGAUAACACGCAAUGGGAGUGGAGAGAUGGCGAGAGUAGCGUGUACCCUCCGUGGCAAGAGGCUGGACGGUGGUGUAUCUGUGCUCUCGGUUGGCGUGAACCUGAUCUGGUCUUAAGAACCCCGAUGGCGAGUUGACAUAUUAAAGGGUUAAGUGCUAGAUAUGUCGUGUGAUUGGAGAUCCUCAGCUGAGUAUAAUCGAUUCGGAUCACCGUAACUUCGUGGACAUGAAGACUUGGUCACUUCCCUAUAUGUAGAAAUCCAAUAAAGAUGAAGGGUUGUUAAGAAAUUGGCUAGUGCAGGUCAAGUGAUUGAACUAGGGUAGAAAGAACUCUAGUUGCAGGUAGUUUUACUUAACUUGAUAAAUAAAACUGGAUUUUUAUGGAUCCACUUUUAGUAAGCAUUUCUGUAAACAGAGUCAUUGAUUAUUGAUAAGCCUUACCUUGACUCCCUUAAAGCCAGCAUAUCCUUGAGAGUCUUUUACUUUGUCGGGUAAGUCUUGCGAAAGUACACUUCGUACUCAGGGCUUUGUCCCAUGUUGUUUUAGGUGAAGAAGCGACAAACUUUUGUUGCUUUUGUUCAAAGGUGGUACCCAAAGAAGAGAACCAAGACUAGAGCCACGGGAGGGAAGGCCCUCCGUUAAAAACUUUUUACUGCUUAUUCGGGAGGGGUUUUUGCCUCCCAUGGUUUGUAAUAAUAAUACUCAGCACUCAUAUAUUAUGUUCUGGUCUGUAAAUAUUUAACUCUGUCUUACUUUUCAAUAAAAGUAAGUUAUUGUAACUGCUUCCACAUUUCCGUAUCUCCUAUGAAUUGUGAUGUCUGCGUGACGGGUAAAACGCUCUUUGGAAGGUAAGGAAUUCAGAUACCGAACAUGUCAAGUGAUCAGGUGCACCUGUAGGGUUGUCUGAGGUCCAUUAGACAAGGACAACAGUAGGUUGGCCUAAUGACUUGGGAGGUUCUGUCACAGGAUCAGCAGAGUGAGCGAAGACAGGGGUAUGGCCCCUCAUGAAUUCUGCCCGCUUGUCUCUGGGCACCUAAGGCAUCUGAACUUGCACUUGAGGCUGAGGUGGGGGUGAUAGCUGCUGCACCUGCUGCAUUGCUGCUAAGGUCUGACCAAUUGCUUGGACUGCCUGAGUUUGCAUCAUGAACAUCUGCUCAACUGUCAUCGGGGGUGGCGGUGGCAAUUGUUGCUGCUAAGCUGCAUCUUCUUGGGGUGCCUACUAUUCUGGCUGAGCACUCCUUGCACCUCUGCGCCUGUUCUCAGACAUCUGUAGAAUGCACACAAACAUCAGAUCUGACUCUGCAGUCUUUCAGCAUAAGAAAAGAUAUACGGAAAUUUUCAUAGCACUGAACAAAUGAUCAUCUUCACUAACAUCUUCUCAGAUAAAGAGGAAAGUGGAAAUAAAUGGAUGUAACACCCCUAGUGUUUAUAUUCCGCUCGACAAUGAGUAUGCAUUUAAGCACGUAAUAUCAGUGGAUAAAAUGGAUGCUAAAUUUUAAUCAUCUUUGUCUAUCACAAUUUUAAUAUUGCAUCUGUUUCGUCUGUCGCGAGUUCGACAUCGUUUUUAUCUAUCCGGACUCUUCCUAAAUUUUCGCGAUGUUCGGAACAUAGUUGUUCCGAAAAUCGGUGCGUCCGAUGAUUAUUUAAAAUUCAUUGCUCGCGUGAAUACGAAUUCGGAAGCUCGACCUACUCUUACGACUUUAUCCUGGGCAAAUUAAUUUGAACUCGGCAACAGAAGUGUUAAUGCAAAAUUAAAUCAGACCACACCCGGAAUCCAAGAAAAACCACGCGUAGAAUUAUAAUUGAGUUGUUUCCUAGUCGAAUCCAAUAUCGUUUAGCUUGAUCCGAUAACAUCAGGCAAAAACUCGAACCUUGGUAAUUUAAUCUAUUCCUUACCAGAUAAUUUUUUGUCCGACUUCUACGUAAACCAAAGCUGAUUACAAUAUCGAAGUUGAAAUCAGUUCUAUUCGGGUUAUCGUUUCUCGCCGAAUUCAAAACUUCAGACAUAAAUAACUGAUUAAAAUUCAUAUAAUUUCAAAGUAUUCUCUAAAUCAAAUCAUGUCCAAUUUAUCGUUAUCGAUCUCAAGUAUUUUGAUCCAUUUUAUAUCACUAAAUAUUAUGAUCCAAAAUAUCUUCGAUUUUCAUUAAAAAAGAAUGAUUAAAAAAAACCUGAAGAUAUUCAUCUCCUAUCCUUAUCCUACGCCGCUCUUCUCCUGAUAUUUUUUUUAGCCGUCGUCUCCCCUGCAGAUUUUUUUCCACGACGUCUCCCUCUCCUUAUCUUCUCUUCCGCGCGCGCCUCCUCUGAUGUUUUCUAGCCGCAUCCAGCCCCUUCUCCAGCCGGCGUUUCUCCCUUCCCAUGGCGUUCGGCCCUGCUCGGCCCCCGCCCUCAGCGCGCCCUGGACUUCCUCCGCGGUUCCUAGCUCGGUCUUCUUCCUGGCGUCCAACUGGAACUCCGUAUUUUCUCCCUCAGCUCCCAUGGCGCCCAGCAGAGCUCUCUCUUCCCUUCCCAUGGCCGCCGUGCCGACUUCUCUGGCGCGCCCUGGCGUCUGCGUCCAGCUGAGCUCCUCCAGCUCGCAACCCUCUCCCUCUCCCUAGGUCCUCGCGCGCGCCGGCUCUGGCUCGGCCACUCCUCUUCCUCCUCCCGUUCCCUACUCGCCCAUGGAAGAUGCGACAGCUCCUCUACUCGGCGCUGGAAUUUCUGCGAGCUCUCUUUCCAUAGCCGAGCUCCCUCGCCGUCGCCUCUCCGUGCUGGCUGACCAGCCCGCCAUGGUGGCACACGCCCCUGCUCCUUGUUCCUGGCUCGCUGCUCUGGUUUUCAUCUCUUCGCGUCGGUAUUGUUGUUUUCAAGCGCUCGCCCAGGUCGCCGUCGUCAAGUCCCUGUGCACGCAGCCAUGUCCCUCUGUUCGCCGUGGCCGGUUCGCUGCUCGCGUCGUGGUCUCCCAGCUCGUCAGCACUUGUUCAGUCGUCUCGGCUCGCUCGGCCUUAAUCCCCAUCAUGUCAUCGACCUCGCCAGUUGUCGUCAUUCGUCGUUGCGUCGUGUGUGCUCGUCCUUGCCAAGAUCUGGCCCUGCGAGCUCCACACGCCAUGGCUGCGCGUCGCCGUGAUGUUACCGUCUCGCCGAGUCUCCAAGCCGGCCAUCAAGUUCUGCUUUCGCUUCCGUGCCGCACACAUUCAUCUUUGCUAGCUGGUCGUGCACCUCACUUCGACGUUCCGUGUUCGCCAGUUGCCAUUGCUCAUCCGCGUCAAGACAUCACUCGCCGUGGUUCAGCUCGCUAGUUCGUCGUUGUUCCAUCGUCUCGUCUCAAUGCCAAUCCCUACGUGAUGCCUACGAAUUGUGAUCGCGUCGACAAAAAGAAUCCCAAGAAGAUGUGGUGUUGAAGUCAAAGCCAGCAGCCCUUUAUUCUUCAUCGUCAACCCACGCCGUGUCACAACAUGCCCGUCGAUCUCGAUGAUCUAUCUGCCAGUUGCGUGCCACUUGUGUUGAGCUUCAAAGCCCCCUGUCAAGCUCUUCCCCUAGAAGCCGCCUUCGAGCAUAACCCCUACCAAGUGUUCGAUGGGAAUUCUGAACCAAUACUCAUCGUCGAUCUGCGUUUAUCAAAUCAUUUUGGUCAUGGUAAGCCGAUGAGUUAUUCAGAAUAGUUCGAUCGUUGAAUAAAUUAAUAUGCUAUUGUGAUGCUCACUAGGUGCUCAAUAAAUUGCGUGAGUCAUAGAACUCUCGUCGACUUCGUGAUUCUUGCGAUUAUCGAGCCAGAUUCAGUAUGGCGAAUUGUUUCGCUAUUCCAGUCAAUUAGCUGAAUUGAUGGACCGAGUAGAAUAUUAGUAGGCAUGUGUGAUGAUGACAUAUUUUAAUCACUUAUAAAGAUGUGUAUAUAGUUACGAUAAAUAAAUGUUGAGAUAAGAACAAAAAUUUGAGUUGCUACUUUCAGUGAAAAGUAAAUUGGUAACACAAAGAAUAAAUUUAUCAUUUAAAUCGUUCUACCAUUUAGUGUUGUCAGUAGUGAUUUUUGAUAAAUCUUGAUUGCAUAAUGAAGUCGAUGACUUGCUCGGAUAAUCAUUAUAUCUGAUGUUUAGAAAUCGAUUAUGUGUCAGAUCAAUGUUGUUUGCCACUCCGAGUAGUGGGGAGCAAAUAACAUCAUCUGGUGAUCGUCAAUUUCGUGUUCGGAGUGUGUUGGUGGUAAGCAUUUUCAGAUUUUCUUGUGUCAAAAGAUAGUGGUCAUACUAUGCUGACUUGGUAAAAAUAUAUGUAGUAAUAUGAUUCUGUUAAUAAAUCAUAAAAGAAAGUAGAGUGUGUGUAUAUUUUAUUGUAUUGCGAUGUAUGCGCUACCUCCGAAUAGGCUAGAAAGGCGUAAUUAUUAUAAAUAGUCGUACAUCGCUAGCUAGUAUUUGCUUAAUGUUUUGUUAUAAGUGUUUCAUUCUCUCUGGUGUAGGUAUCUAUUUUAUACUCUUUAUACUCGUGCUCAUACAUGUGCAUCGUGCAUCUCAUGAUGUACGAUAAAUAAUCGCGUGAUGCGGAAGACGAGCCAAGUCGACCCCAAGCGCGGGCUACUCCGCAUGGUGAUGCUCAUGGACAAACCUGCCUGAUCAAGUGCUGGGACAAGGAUGAUCGUCAAGUGGACAUCGCCUAACAAACACUAACCUAGUGUUAUUCAGGCAAGCCCUGGUGCAUGCAACCCUUUCCUUGUGUUUUUAAAUAAUUUUUACACACUUUAAGUCUAGCGAAAUGUGCAUUAGGUUUAUAGGAGUUGCUUGGAAACCCUUUGAUGCAUUGCCUACCUUGAUAUCCAUACCUUUAUAGAUACUUCUGAUGAAGUAUCGAAAUAUGAUUUACAAAAAUGCUUAGCCCUGCUUAGAUCAUGUGGAUAGAGGUUGUCUUUUGCAUUAAGGCCUAGCUCAGGGGUUAUCCUGAGGAAGGAUGACUUCUACCUGCAAGAAUAUUUUCCUUGGGAGCGUGGUGGGAUCUUACUGCAAAGUUCCCUAUAAUGCUCUUUUCAUCCUAAGGAACACAAACAAUCCUAACGAUGGAAAUACUUAAAUCGGGACUUGGGCUAGGAACUAGUGAUGUUCUACCCAGGUUGAUUAAGGAUUAUAGAGAAUGUGGGCCUGUCGACCGAGAACCUUUUAACUUGUAACACCUCAAGUGUUACCAAGACACUGGCUUCAUACUUGCACUAAUGACCUAUUAUCACAUGUGGUUAAUUGGAGUAGCAGAAGCACCUAAGACUUUGGAAGCAUGAGUUAGCUAAGAAAUGUUAAGGACAAAAGCAUUACCCAAGCAUUUAUGCAAUAAUCACCUUGGGCAAGAGAAGAUUAAACCCUAGACCCUUCUUGAGCCCUUAACUCCCAAAACCCUGGUUUAAGGGAAAGGUUAAACAAAUGUGCAAAUCAUGAGUUAACCCUUAACCAAAGUCUAAGUAACAUUGUAAUCCACAAAAUGUAGAGGGGAAACAUUACAAAAAGAUGCUUUAAAGACCCCAAAUCCAUUCUUUAAGUAGAAAGCACCCUAGAGCUCUCUAAUUCUCUCUAAGUCAAAAUUUAACCCUAAUCUAGAGAUCAUACGUGUUCACUUAGUAAAUGGUGCCAAAACCACUUGGUCUGAAUACCAAAAAGGUGCCAAACCACCUAAGGCACCCACUGGAAAAGUUUGAACCCUAGCCAAAUUCGUUUGACAUGAUUUGGCAUCACUUUUGUCGCGAGGUGGACAGUGAGACAAGCCAGAUUUGGCGUCCGCAAAUCUUCUGACCUAGGGCUUAUAUCCCCUUGGAACUCACAUACAAGAGAUAGCCAUAGGUACCAGGAAGAGGUCUGCGCCGGAUUUUUUGCCAAGAUUCGCACGUUUGCAAUCUCAGCAAGCUUUUGAACAUGGGCAGAAGAACACCUCCACGUGUUCGACGCGCCCUGAACGCGCCAGAGCACGCCCGACGCUCGAACCCGCGCGCCCUGCGCCGCGCCGCGCCAAGCCACACCCGUGUCCCCUGCCCGUGCCCGCGCCUAUAAAAGCCAGCAAAGGCUUCAGUCGUACGCCCUUGCGCGCUCUAGACCUCACCGGAGUAUGAGAUCGCCGGAGUUUGCCCUGCACACGGCAUGCCAGCGGCCGCCUGAGCACCCGCCACCGUAGACCGGCCAACAGAGCCAUUCCCAGCCCCGUCCAACCCUCGAGAGAGAUUCUACAUGCCUCGGUGAAGCUCCUAGAGCAAGGAAUCGAGCUCUGCCUCGCCGGAGACGCCAGAUCAAGGUAACCGGACUUCACCCAACCACCGGCGAACGUAGACCGAGCUCCACGGUGAGUUAUUCUUCGAUUCCUUGCACGGGUCGACUCAUUAGCACCCCGUGAAGCUCCCUGUGCCCUUGGAUUGACCUAUAUCGCCGUGGAUAGGCCAGAGCACUCGCCGCCGACGAGUUCGCCCGCCUGCGCACGUGGACCGGCCGAUUCCGGCCAUCACCAUCGUCGAGUCGUACCUCGUCGUGAUCGCACGGACCUCCCAAAGCCAACCCCACCCUUCGCCGGACCUCCCUCGCCGCCGGUAAGCCGCGCCGCCCUGUUUCCUUCCGCGGGUACUUUUCAAAAGGGGGGAGGGACCUCGGGGAAGAAGGAAUAGAAGUCAGGGGGUUUUUUGAAUUGUCAGCGACUCAGAUGAAUAGUUGCGUAGGGGUAUAAGUUAAAGAACUGGUUUAGGAAAAGCCCAGGGUCCUAGGUGUAAACUGGUUUUCCAGAAAACCUUUUUAACAUUUCUAAUUUAAAUACAAACAGAGCUUGUAAAAUUCAUAACUUCAGUUUUAUUCAACAAAAUUUAGUCAAACCAAUUUUGCCAGAUUCUAAGUGUUGCAGAAUAAUUUAGUAAAAAUACAAAACCCCCUAAGUGUUGCAGAAUAAUUUACAGUUCUGAAUUAAAUAGUGUUCUGGCCAAAAGCUAAAUAAAAGAGGGAAAAUAGUUACACUGUUAGACUGGAGUUAAGAAAAAUUAGAGGAGUACUUAAUCACUCCCUAAUCUGUUUAAAAAUAGUAAACCCCUCAGUACACCAAAUUAAGGUAGGGUUUGCCAUUUGAAUCAUUUUUAGCCUAAAGUUAAAGAAAAUAAAAAGGGUAGUUUAAAAUAAGAACCAGGGAGCAACACACAUUUUUGUUAGCUCACUUAUUCAGUAUAGUUCACUGGAAAAUUUUGUUGGACCCUUGUUUAGUACAAAAGAAUGAGAUACCUUUUAUUUUAUGCAAAUAAUGAAAACUUAGGAAAAUCUUAGAAAAAUAAUCCCGAAGAUAAAACACCCCAAACUUUAGGAUAACUAAUAUUUUGUUAUUAUGAAUAUAGGAAAAAUAUGAGUUCUGUUGUUUGAUAUUUUUCAAAUAACAAGUUAGCUAUAAGUACCUUUUUGGCAUUAAACUUUAAAAAAAUCACAACUAUAUAUCCAGUAGGUCUUUUUCUGUGAUUUUUAACACAGAGACCUAAUAUCACCAAUUAAUCUGGACAAAAAUAAAAUUUGGUACAGAGAUCUCACUUAAAUCAUAGCUAUAGUGUAAAAUGCCCUUUUACACUUGUUUUUGUUAAUUUUGCACAAGUAGUAUCUGAAUUAAUCUCCACCUCAAAUUUUUAGGAGAACCCACCAAUGUCAAUAUUUACCCACUGAAAUUUUUAUAACAUUUUUGGAAAAUGUUACCUAAACCUGAUAGUUCAAAAAUGCUUAAUAAGAAGCAAUAGAAAGAGAAAGGGAAAACAUUGGGGAGAAAUAGAUGAAAAUACAAAACCCUUAAGUAUAUCCAAAAAUAAACCCUAGAGAAACACUAAACUUAAUACUGUUUUACUAUGCAUAACCUUUACAAAUGAUCAUAUCAUUUUUAUGCAUAUAUCUUAUACAUUGCAUUAGAUAGACUGUAAUCUCGCCGACGGGGAAUACAUCCUCGUGCCGGAGCAAGGAGUUGCUCAAAAGGUAGCCCAGGAUCCAGCACCAGAGCCUGCCAUCGAGGAUCUGCCUGCCCCAGCUUUGGAAGGCAAGCCCCGGUUUUAUGCAUAACCGUUUAUAUAUGCUAUUUUACUGCACUUAAUGAUUGUAGGUUUGUACUGUGCACUUAAGUGUAGGAGUUGACUGAAACCCUAGUUGCAUGAACUCAGGAUUCCUUUUGAGAUGGAUACUAGUAUGCUAGGUCGAGUUGCUGCUUUACUAAUUAGGGAUUUCGGUAGAAGUCGAGUGAUUUUUUUGCACUCGCGCGAGGUCAGGAAUUGGUUGUAUCCAUUUGUAUAUCGUACUGAUGAUGGUCUGUGGACAACGGUCCAUGGGGAUGCAUUGUCUACAAGACGGAAAUUGGAAUAAGGAUUAAGGUGUGGUACCGUGUGUCAAGCGUGUGAACGUACUAAGCACAUGCCGAGAAAUAUGGUAAAUCGGUAGGCCUAGUACCUGAUUGAACCUGGCAGCAGACUUUACCCCUCACGCGACCUGAGACGUGGUCUCCCAUUCCGGUUAUGGUGGGUACAAGUGCGGUCACUGCACGAUGGCAGUCGGGGUCAGUGAGGCAUUGUACGCCAAGGCGGUGAGCCCUGAUCUGCUGGCGGGGAAUCGAUGGGGGCGAUUGAUAUAUGUGGGGACGGAGUGCCUCGCCAUGUCGUGUGUUUAGGUUUACCUUGCAAGGUUUAAAAACUCGAUUCGAAUCGUCUGCUUCUCGCAGCUAAUGAGACUGCUUCAUCCAUGCUGCUACAUCGAGUAACAAGUGGAAAUGUGAUGACUUGGCAAAAGUUGUUGAUUACUAAAUGUAUGAUACCAUGUAUGAUUAGAUAGGUACACAUUUAGUCUUAAGAGAGUCACACUAAAACUUGAAAAAGCUAAAACAUGAUUUUUAGACUCAGCUAGUGCUUUUGGCAAGCAAACCCCUCAGCCAAACAGCUGCAGGUCUAGAGGUAGAGGAGUAGACUUCAAACACCGGGUAAGUCUAGCUGAGUAUUAGUAUACUCAGCCUUGCUUGUGGCAUAAUUUUACAUGUUCUCUGGAGGACAUGGUUGCUGGAGUGACUUGGCCGUCCAUCUUGCCACCGGGUUGGACAGUCGAGUGGGACCCUACCUCAGCUGAGGAGGAGCAUGAGGAGUGAUGGGACAGGCUUCCCCAUCCCUCCAUUUAUUUACCAUUAGUUUUAUUCCGCUGCAUUCCAAAAAAAGAUCACUACUUUUGCUAAAACUCCGAUGAUGUUGUAAUAAAUUUAAUACUCCUUAAUGUAUGGUUUUAUGCUUUAUUGUAUUUGCUCUGUGCCUCACCAUCGAGUGAGUACGUGGUACUUGAUCCUGUUAGUGGCCUCGUCGGACUAGAUCCGAGGGACUGACGUGUUAUUCCUAUUUAAGUGUGGUCUAGCCUUUAAGGUGGGACUUAGGCACUUAAGUUGGAAUAAUUCAGGCGGUUCUGCCACAGCUGGUAUCGGAGCUUGCACCACAAAGGAAUCAAUUAACUAUAAAUACCAUCCUUUUUCAAAAUUAAAACUUGUUAGAAACAAAUGUUGGAUAGAUCGGUAAGGCGAUAGGUAUGGACAUAGAGCAUGAAGUCUUAGGAUAAUAGAAGGGUAGUUAGGUGGCUAAUUGAGUAAGCCCUACGGGCUACUAUAAAGAAUGGGAUUUUUUCCCUAUUCCCUAUAAGUUGAUGUGAGGUCAUUUAGGACAAGCAUGCAUGCAUCAUUUAAUCAAACUACUUGGUAAUUAGUUAAGAGCUUUAAAAUGAUAUGAGGCAUGAUAACGAAAGAUUAAGUACACUCAGUGACCUUAUCGUAACCUUCGAUAGGCCGAGCCUUGAUCCCCUUUUUACUUUUAUAAUUCUUUUUCUUUUUUCGCUACGCUUACCCAUAUACAGAUGACUUCUCAUGGAUCCUCGGAUGGAGGGAACACACAUUACCACACGGACGGACUUGACGAGAGGGUUUUCCCCGUAUCUUGUGGGAGGUACUGCAGGGAGCCGGUUACACGAUGCCUCCCCAGUACACGGUGCAGCUGUUCGAGAAGCACCGGGUGCCUCGCUGUAGGGUGAGGAUGACCCUGGAGCCUCAUCCCUUACAGCCAGGCUGGCGUUCGUUGGACUCCAAGUCUUUCGGAUAUCGGGCCGAGGAUACUAUCGAGGACAUUGCUCUCCACGGGCUGACCACCUUCUGUGGUUUUCACCCCUUGGAGCUGUCCACUCACCCCAUUGGUUUGUUCUCCACGGAAAAGGAGGACGACCCAAUGUGGAAGGAUCGAGUGGAACAUGCCAAGGAUGUGUGGGCUCUAUACCUAGGGUAGACUGCUCACCUCACGGUGCGAUGCAUGAAUGCCAUGUAUCGUCUGCAAGUGCUGCGAAGAGAGGCCAUGUCUUAGCUAAUGGCAUUGUUGGAGGCUACCAAGAUCACCCUAGACAAUAGAGAGGAACUUGUGGUAGACCUAUCCACUGAGAUGGUGGAAAAGGACCUGCAGGUGGAAUAGAUGGCCAACAGAUCCAGGAGCUUGAGGAGCUAGUGGGAACCAGGGAGAACACCAUUGAGGUUCUCGAGGAUCAUCUUCUAAACACUCAGCAGCAACUUGAGGAAGCUAACCAAACCAACAUUUGUAUAUGCACCACCAGGAGAUCCAGGACAUGGAGGCCAACGAGGAUGUCGACAUUGAGGGAGGAGAGGAUUCAGAGCCUGCAUCCAGCUUGGACACUGCUGGCUCAAGGAGACCACCUUCCCCCAAGUCGAGCGUUGCCUCGUUUGCUCACUAGGUGGCAGGGAUAGAGUUAGAAGUGUGUGGCGGUAGAACUCCUCGAAGCUAGCUUAGCUUUUGCACCCUUGGGGUACUAGGCUAGACAAAGUUGAGUCUUUUGAGCACUGAUGUAACCAGUAGCAAACUCUUUUGGAAUUAUGCAUGAUGAAUGAUGUCAGCUUUAAUUUAUGAAGAAAAGUUUUAUGCCACGUAGCAUGUUUUAUGAAUUAUGCAAGAAAAUAUUGGUUUUACCCUUUCAAAUCUUUCACCACGUAUGAACCCUGACAUCAGAAGUAUGAUAUUGAGAGCAUCCUUAAUUUUUCAGAUGGCUGGAAGAGCGUGUCGUGGACAGAAUGAACACAUUCCUCCACUACCACCAUCGUCUCCUACCAUGCAAGAGUUGAUGGCUCAGCAGAACGAGAUUCUGUGACAGUUGGCUCAGCGUCAGCCGCCAUCUCAGCACUAUGGUGGUGGUGACCACCAUCAGCGUCCCCCAGCAGCAGCCACUUAUCAGGAGUUCCUCAGCACGAAGCCGCCAUUGUUCACUCGGGCAGAGGAUCCGCUUGAUGCUGAUGUAUGGCUCAGGGUAGUGGAAUCCAAAUUCCCACUACUCAAUGGAUUUUGUUCAGAUGUGGCUAAGGUCCGGUUCGCCACCCAGCAGCUCCGCAAACCCAUGCGAACAUGGUGGGACCACUUCCUCGCUAUGCAGCCAAUUGACCACGUGGUGGAAUGGGGAGAAUUUAAGGCAGCAUUCAGAGGGCAUCACAUACCAACAGGCAUCAUGGACCGCAAGCUUAAUGAGUUUCUGUUACUUACUCAGGGGAACCGUACAGUGUUGCAGUACGCUCAGGCCUUCAAUGACUUGUGUCAGUAUGCCGGAUAUCAUGCAGACACUGAUGAGAAGAAGAGGGAUAGGUUCAGGAGGGGACUCAGCACUAAGCUUCCCGACCAUCUCAACACCGUCAGGGCCAACAGUUACAAUGAGUUAGUCAACAUGGCCAUUUCCUAGGAGGACUGCAUCACAGCCUGCCAAGCAGAAAAGAAGAGGAAGACCCCUGUGGGAGGACCUUCAGCUCAGCCUCAGCGCUUCAGAAUUGUAUCUGACACUCAGAACAGGGGACCUCAACAGCAGCAAGGACGUUGGGUGAUCCGACCACAGCAGCAGCAGUAGCAAGCACCCAACCGCUCUCAGCUCCCAGUUCAGAGGAACAACAAUUAGUCAUAGCAGCAGCAGUACCGUCAGGCCAAUGACAACAGGUGUUUCACUUGUGGUAACACUAGGCACUAUGCCAAGAAUUGCCCCAGGAAUCAGCAGAGGCAGGGACAGGGUUCCAAUCAGAACCAAGGCAAGAGGCAGAAGGUGCAAGUGAGGCAAGACAGGCUGAACUUCACCACCAUGGCUGACAUUCCAGAGGGAGCACCCGUCAUGACUGGUAUCUUUUCCGUUUUGAAUUAUCCUGCCAUCAUUCUUUUUUAUUCUGGUGCGUCACACAGUUUUAUCAGUACAAAAUUUAGUGCCAAAUGUCAGUUACCUUUCCAUCACACCAAUGGGGUAUUACAAUUUCAACACCAGGAGGCAGGGUUGCCACCUAUCAAAUCAACAGGCAUGUGCCUAUAAAGUUUGGUAGUCUGAUAAUUAAAACCACCCUCCUCAUUUUGGGAUUGGAUAGUGUGGAUAUCAUUUUAGGAACUGACUGGUUAACAAGACAUCAGGCAGUAAUUGAUAUUGCAGCAAGGGCCAUUGAGGUGCACUCACCUACUUGUGGUGAAACCACAUUAUAUUUGCCCGAUCAGGGUUGUACCCGUUCCUGUGCAUUCACCAUGAUAGAAUCACCGGUUGAGAGAAUCCCAAUGGUCUGUGACUACCCAGAUGUUUUUCCGGAUGAAUUGCCAGGGAUGCCACCCGACAGAGACAUAGAGUUCGCAAUUGAAUUACAACCCGGAACUGCCCCUAUAUCCAAGAGACCUUAUAGGAUGCCUCCAGCAGAAUUGGCGGAGUUGAAAAAGCAGUUGCAAGAAUUGUUGGGCAAGGGGUUUAUUUGCCCAAGUACUUCUCCAUGGGGAUGUCCCGCCUUAUUCGUGAAGAAGAAAGAUGAGAGUUUGAGGUUGUGUGUUGACUACCGCCCUCUCAAUGCGGUGACCAUCAAGAAUAAGUAUUCAUUGCCCCGCAUUGAUGUAUUGUUUGAUUAGUUGGUGGGAGCCUAGGUAUUUUCAAAGAUAGACCUCCGUUCCGGCUACCAUCAGAUCAAGAUCAGGGCCAAUGAUAUUCCGAAGACAGCUUUCUCUACCCGAUAUGGGCUUUAUGAGUAUUUGGUGAUGUCUUUUGGGCUGACCAAUGCCCCGGCUUAUUUCAUGUAUUUGAUGAACUUAGUCUUUAUGCCAGAGCUGGACAAGUUUGUGGUGGUCUUCAUUGAUGACAUUCUGGUUUAUUCCAAAAAUGAAGCUGAGCAUACUGAGCAUCUACAAAUCGUACUUCAGCGACUACGUGAUCAUCAGUUGUAUGCUAAAUUUUCCAAAUGUGAUUUCUGGCUGAAGCAGAUAAAAUUUUUGGGUCACACCAUUUCUCAGAAUGGGGUAUCAGUUGAUCCUGAAAAAGUACAAGAAGUGAUGGAUUGGAAACCUCCUACCAUAGUACAGCAGAUCCGUAGUUUUCUGGGAUUGGCAGGGUAUUAUCGACGAUUUAUUCCGGAUUUCUCCAGGAUUGCCAAGUCAAUGACUGAAUUGUUGAAGAAAGGAGUCAAGUAUGAAUGGACCCAGAAAUGUGAGGAUGCCUUUCAUACACUAAGGCAACAUUUGACAAUAGCACCCGUGCUAGCUCAUCCUAACAACACCAAACCCUUUGAGGUUUAUUGCGAUGCUUCCGGUACUGGAUUGGGAUGUGUCUUGAUGCCUCCUGAGCACUCAGAUCCCAUGAGCAGAACUACCCCACCCAUGAUCUGGAGUUAGCAGUCGUAGUUCAUGCUCUCAAGAUUUUGAGACAUUACUUGAUGGGGGCUCAUUGUAAUAUCUAUACUGAUCACAAGAGUCUCAAAUAUAUUUUCACUCAGGCUGAUCUUAAUAUGAGACAGAGGAGAUGGUUGGAAUUAAUCAAGGACUAUGAUUUGGAAGUGCAUUACCAUCCUAGCAAUGCCAAUGUUGUGGCAAAUGCCUUAAGUCGGAAGGCCCAAUGCAACUGUGUGAGUAUGGAUGCAAAAAUCACCACCCUAUGUGACGAGUUGUGCAAGAUGAACAUAGAAGUUGUUUCCUCCGGUGCUUUAAGUUAUUGUUGGCGUUUCGAGACCGGGGGGUCCCUAAGCCGAUGAGUGAAUGUCGCCGCGUGCCCCAGCCCAGAUGGGUCGAGCGCGUGGGCGAGCGCGAAGGGGGGAAGUGAGGUGGCCGGAGAUGGGCGUGAGAGAGGUGGAAAUCCCACGGCCUUCGUGUUCGUCCCGCGCCCAGGUCGGGUGCGCUUGCAGUAGGGGGUUACAAGCAUCCACGCGGGAGAGGGAAGCGAGCGGCCCAAGAGAGCGCCUGUCCCGUCCUCGUCCCCGCGCGGCCAACCUUCUCUAAGAGGGCCCUGGUCCUUCCUUUUAUAGGCAUAAGGAGAGGAUCCAGGUGUACAAUGGGGGUGUAGCAGAGUGCUAUGUGUCUAGCGGGGGAGAGCUAGCACCCUAAGUACAUGCCGAUGUGGCAGCCGGAGAGAUCUUGGCACCCAGCUGGUGUGAUGUCGUGGCCGUCGGAGGAGCGACGGAGCCUGGCGGAGGGACAGCUGUCGGAGCGGUUGAGUCCUUGCUGACGUCCUCCUGCUUCCAUAAGAGAGCUGAGAGCCGCCGUCGUCACAGAGCUUGUGGGGCGCCAUCAUUACCUAUCUGGCGGAGCUAGCCAGAUGGGACACCAGUCUUGUUCUCAGCGGCCCGAGUCAGCUCGGGGUAGGGUGAUGAUGGCGCUUCCUGUUGACGUGGCUGGCUUGCGCCCUAGGUUGGGCGACGUGGAGGCUCCUCCGAAGCCGAGGUCGAGUCUGUCUUCCGUGGCCGAGGCCGAGUCCGAGCCCCUGGGUCGGGCGAGGCGGAGGUCGUUCGGCAGAGGCCAGGGCGGAGUCCGAGCCCUGGGGUCGGGCGAAGCGGAGUUCAUCGUCUUCUGGGGCUGAGCCCGAGUCCGAGCCCAGGGGUCGGGCGAAGCAGAGUUCGUUGUCUUCUGGGGCUGAGCCCGAAUCCGAGCCCUGGGGUCGGGUGGAGCGGAGUUCGUCGUCUUCUGGGGCUGAGCCCGAGUCCGAGCCCUGGGGUCGGGCGAAGCGGAGUUCGUCGUCUUCUGGGGCUGAGCCCGAAUCCGAGCCCUGGGGUCGGGCGGAGUGGAGUUCGCCGUCUUCAGGGACUUAGCCCGAGUCCGAGCCCUGGGGUCGGGCGGAGUGGAGUUCGCCGUCUUCCGGGACUUAGCCCGAGUCCGAGCCCUGGGUCGGGCGGAGCGGAGUUCGCCGUCUUCCGGGACUUAGCCCGAGUCCGAGCCCUGGGUCGGGCGGAGCGGAGCUUCCUAUGGUGCCUUUGGCAGGGCCUGACUGCCUGUUAGUUUCACUCUGUCAAGUGGCACUACAGUCGGAGUGGCGCAGGCGGCGCUGUCCUUUUGUCAGGCCGGUUAGUGGAGCGGCGAAGUGACGGCGGUCACUUCGGCUCUGCCGGGGGGGCGCGUGUCAGGAUAAAGGUGUCAGGCCACCUUUGCGUUAAAUGCUCCUGCGAUUCGGUCGGUCGGUGCGGCGAUUCAGUCAGGGUUGCUUCUUAGCGAAGGCAGGGCCUCGGGCGAGCCGGAGAUGUGUCCGCCGUUGGAGGGGGGCCUCGGGCGAGACGGAAAUCCUCCAGGGUCGGCUACCCUUGUCCGAGGCUAGGCUCGGGCGAGGCAUGAUCAAGUCGCUCGUAUGGACUGAUCCCUGACUUAAUCGCACCCAUCAGGCCUUUGCAGCUUUAUGCUGAUGGGUGUUACCAGCUGAGAAUUAGGAGUCUUGAGGGUACCCCUAAUUAUGGUCCCUGACAGUAGCCCCCGAGCCUCGAAGGGAGUGUUAUCACUCGCUUGGAGGCUUUCGUCGCACUUUUUCGCAAGGGGACCAGCCUUUCUCGAUUGCAUUUUGUUCCGGUGGGUGCGCGCGAGCGCACCCGCCGGGUGUAGCCCCCGAGGCCUUGGAGGAGUGGUUUCACUCCUCCGAGGUCUUAAUGCCUUGCGCAACGCUUCGGCUGGUCUGGUUGUUCCCUCAUGCGAACUGGCCGUAGCCCGGGUGUACGGUCGGGGUCCAAGUUCUCGGGCUGGUAUGUUGACGCUGUCAACGGUUCGGCCGGAGCCGGGUUUGCGAGAGCAGCCCCCGAGCCUCCGCACAGGGCGAGAGGGCGAUCAGGGACAGACUCGGCCUUUUUAUAUACGCCCCUGUGUCGCCUUUCCGCAAGGAGGAGGGGGGGGGAAAGCGCCAUGUUACCCUCGAUGGGCGCCGAACAUGGUGUCUCCGGUGAGCUGCAAGCGGGUAAUCCGAGUGGACGUCCGUGCCCCAUUCGUUAGGGGUCGGCUAGGGGCCCAGAGGCACGCCCAAAAGUACCUGCGGGUGAUCUGCCGGACCCGGUCCCCUGGCGACGGGGUCCGAGGGCUCGAUGCCUCCCUCCGAUGGGAUUCCGUUACAAGAUCGCUCCCGCUGGUCUCGGAAAUGUCCUAGGGUACCUCGGGAGCGCAGCCCGAGCCUCGGUUAUGUAUCGAACGUACCCCUGGUCAUCCCUCGCUCGACGUCUGAGGCGGCUGUGAACCCUUCGGAGGCCAGCCUUCGAACCCCUGAUCAGUAAUGGGCGCGGAGCCCGAGUAGCCUGAGGCGGCCGUGGAACCCUUCGGGGGGCCGGCCUUCGAACCUCUGACCAGUAGUGGGUGUAGGGCCCACGCGAUCUGAGGCGGCUGUUGAACCCUUCGGGGGGCCAGCCUUCGAACCUCUGAUCAGUAGGGAGGCUCGGAGCCCGGUUCCUUCACAGGGGAGGAUCCUUUUCGGGGUAUCCCCCUUUCCCGGUUCCUGUUGCAAGAGAUAGAGAAAGAGGAAAAAAAGGAAAAGGAUACGAAAUCGAACGACGUGGCGUACCUUUUUUGGUGCGGUUAUUACGGUGAAGGCGAAGCGUCGCCCGCUUCUCCUGCCAGAAGCGCCGCCUGUCCUGCCGCGGAGUUAAUGCGACGGGGCGAGCGGUUGGCGGGGCGGCCGUUGCGCAUGCGCGAGCCGUUCGAGGAACGGAUCACGGGCGCGUCGUCUUCACGCCGUGAGAGGGGGUUCUCUUGCUGCCCCCAGAUGGGACGUGAGCUUGGCUGAUGACGUGACCGCUGCUCCCGCCCGCCUGCCACCGUCGUUACUGCCGGCCCACUUUCGGCCGCAUUGACCGCCGCGCCAGGCUGGCGCUGCUGGGUCGUGCGCUGGGUCGCCUCGAGUCGCGGUAUUGGUUCCACAAUCCAGGAGGCGCGGUGGUGGCGCAAGUGGCGGUGCAGUUGCUUGCAUGCAGCAUUCGGCGCGCCGGUUGCGUGACGCGUGGGCCUGGGCCUCGAGGCUGGGCGCGUUGGGAGUCGGAGAAGCGCGUCCACUUGGCGCGGUUGCAUGCCGCCUGCAUGGCUGCCCGCCUCUUUCGCCCGUUGGUCUGGGCAAAAGUGGAGGGUCACUUGUAACCGUCGGGCGGUCGUGUGUGCACCACUCGCGGCGGUUUGGCUUCUUCUGCUCUGAACCGGCUUGCAUGACAUGCGGGACCCAGCCCCCGCGCCGCUGGGGAAGGCCUUGGAGCGUGUUGGAGAAGACUCAGCCCGUGACGGCUGGGGGCACGAGUAGGGAGAGUUGCCUUUAAAAGGAGGGCGACCCCUUUGGAAGGCGACCAUGUCUUCUCGCUCCCUUAUGUAUCGCGUCUCUCCACCUUCCAAGCCCCCGGAUGGGGGAUACCCGCCGUCUUUUCGCCUCAUCGUUGGAGGAACGCAACUCCGUGGGAGUUGGUACCUUUCAGCCAUCGUUCGGCUUCAAGGAUUUUCAUCACACAGCCCGGUUGCUCCCCUUCGCUGGUGGUCACCCAAGACGGUGACCUCCAGCUCCUGGAUGGGGAGAGGCAAUCCGGGCUGUGAUCCCGAUCCCGCCCUCAGCAUCGAGGGUGUUCGUCAUCCUCGCUGGGGCGGGGAGCGAGGCGAGCCGGGGCUCUACCUCCUGCGCGGGUCGGUGGGCCACCUCUUCUUCUAGCUUCUGGUGGUGGCAAUCGUCCUCCAGCCCUGCGGCGGAGACGUCCUCCAGCCAUGCCGGGGAAGGCGAACUGUUGCUGCCCAGCUAGGAUGCAACAUUCCGCCCUCUCCCUCGCAUUCGCGGCGAGGACGGCAGCGAGGAUCUGCCGGUGCGCUUGGGAGCGGCCCGCUCUUUGGCUUCAAUAGCUGGUUCGCGUCCCUUGAGCGGGACCGCGAACGAGAGCCCUCCGGCGGCUGCGUCCACCCGGGACCAUGGCUGCUGCUGCAGAGGUCGCUGGCGAGUCUCCCAAUGUUCGUCGCCCCGCAGGCUCGAGGUCGCUCAUACCCGCGGGGACGGAACCAGAGUUCCGUUUGUAAUGGCACUUUGAAUGCCAGUGUUUUUGUUCAUUAUGGCUGUCGAGGCCUGAACAUGUAUGUAAUUUUGGCACGGAGCCGUGUUUUUUCCUCAUUUUCGAGCACUAAGACUCGCCUGUUGAUUAUCUGAACCGCUUCACCAAGCAUGAGUCGCCCCGUGUCAAGGUGACGAGUGAGGUAUCCGUAUCCCGGAGGUGUAGGAGUCCCUCGGCUCGGUCGGCCUUGUUGUCUGAGGCUCCUCUAGCUUAGUUAAAGGGACCCCUUGGCCGCUCUUCGACGAGCCAAGGCCAGGGGUAGCGAUAUCAGCAUGAACAAAGGCGGAGUUGGCUCGAAAAUGAAAACCUGGUUGGCCGGAGCCUAGCCGGGUUGUCCGUUAGCGGGACCGACGCCGGAGUUGACCAGCCGAGGCCUCAGGUCGGGCUGGCGCCCUUGAAAGAUGGUUGGCCGAGGCCCCAGAGGUGACCGGCCGAGCCGGCUGCUCGGGCCGGAUUCCCGGAGAAGACCCUGGCGGCGAUGGCCCGGGCGUGGCGAUGACGUCGCCCUUCAGAGUGGAGGUCUUCGGACCGCGUCACCGUCCGAGGCUAGGUCGAACCUCGCCGAAGUUGUUGUCGAUGCUGAGGGUGCUGCUGCCCCCUUCUAGCGUCAAGACCCGAGCCUGCAGGAUCAGAUUGUCUUGUAGCGUAUGCCUUCUGCGGCCGCCGAGGCCAGAAUACACACCCUCGCUGUGUUGUAAAGCUGCGUCUCCUUUCCUCUUGUUUCGAGUAUCUGGACUUUUUUGUCGGUAACAGGGAUGUUUGUGCGAGCGAGAGUUGCUUCUCGUGGAAGGUGAUGAGUGAGGUAUCCGUAUCCCGGAGGCGUGGGAGUCCCUCGGCUCAGUCGGCCUUGCCGCUUACGCGCACUUUCACCCGUCCAUGAGGCUCUGUCACCGACUCAGUCGAGAAGGCUCGAAGGAUCUCUUGGGCAGAAGAGCUUCCGAACGUGAAGACUUGUUCGGUCCGCGGAAUCACUUUAUCCGAACGCGAGUUACUUAUCGCAGAAGGUGAUGAGUGAGGUAUCCGUAUCCCGGAGGCGUAGGAGUCCCUCGGCUCGGUCAGCCUUGGCUGCUUACGUGUACUCCGUCGUUUUCAGGAUCCACUUUUCGAAGUAGUCAGAAAGCACGAAAGAUAUUCUGGCAGAAAGGAUCUUUUUUUGAGGAAAAUUUCAACGCAGAGGGGGUUCCCCCCCUUUUAGCCCCCGAGGGAGGGUCGGGCUUUACCGAGGCGAGGCCGACCCUUCCUUGAUGACUAAACUUUGCGUGGGUGCGAGGUAUAUGAACAACUUGAAAACAUCUUAAGGGUAGAAGCGACGUAGCUGCUGGAUGUUCCAAGCGUUGCCGUAGACCUCGCCUUGACUGUUGGCCAGCUUGUACGUUCCGGGCUUCAGAACUUUGGCGAUGAUGAAUGGCCCCUCCCAGGGGGGCGUGAGCUUGUGCCUCCCUCGGGCGUCUUGCCGCAGCCGAAGCACCAGGUCGCCCACCCGGAGGUCUCGGGGCCGGACCCCUCGGGCGUGGUAGCGUCGCAGGGACUGCUGGUACCGCGCCGAGUGUAGCAAGGCCUUGUCCCGAGCCUCUUCCAGCUGGUCCAGCGAGUCUUCUCGGCUAACUUGGUUGCUUUGAUCGCUGUAGGCCCUCGUCCUUGGGGAGCCGUAUUCCAGGUCAGUGGGCAAGACGGCCUCGGCCCCGUAGACCAGGAAGAACGGCGUGAAACCCGUGGCUCGGCUCGGCGUUGUCCUCAGGCUCCAGACCACCGAGGGGAGUUCCUUCAUCCAUCGCUUGCCGAACUUGUUGAGGUCGUUGUAAAUCCGAGGCUUGAGCCCUUGUAGAAUCAUGUCGUUGGCACGCUCUACUUGCCCAUUCGACAUGGGAUGAGCCACGGCGGCCCAGUCCACCCGGAUGUGGUGACCCUCGCAGAAGUCCAAGAAUUUUCUGCUGGUGAACUGGGUACCGUUGUCGGUGAUGAUGGAGUUCGGGACCCCGAAGCGAUGGAUGAUGUUGGUGAAGAACGUCACCGCCUGCUCGGACCUGAUGCUGUUCAGGGGUCGGACCUCGACCCACUUGGAGAAUUUGUCGAUGGCGACCAGCAGGUGCGUGUAGCCCCCGGGCGCCUUCUGCAAGGGGCCGACGAGGUCCAGACCCCACACAGCAAAGGGCCAGGUGAUGGGUAUCGUCUGCAGAGCCUGAGCGGGCAGGUGGGUCUGCUACGCAUAGAAUUGACACCAUUCGCAGGUACGGACAAUUCUAGUGGCGUCAGCCACCGCCGUUGGCCAGUAGAAGCCUUGCCGGAAAGCAUUCCCGACAAGGGCUCGAGGCGCUGCGUGAUGGCCGCAAGCCCCCGAGUGUAUCUCUUGCAGGAGUUCCUGACCUUCGGUGAUGGAGAUGCAUCGCUGGAGGAUGCCCGAGGGCUGCGGUGGUAGAGCUCCUUCUCAUCGCCCAGCAAGACGAACGACUUGGCGCGUCGCGCUACCCGCCGAGCCUCGGCUCGGUCGAGGGGUAGCUCUCCUUGGCGGAGAUACUGCAGGUACGGGGUCUGCCAAUUUCGAUCAGGCGUGGCCCCGCUCCGCUCCUCCUCGACGUGUAGUGCCUCGCCCUCGAAGGCCGAGGGUACCUCGGGCUGAACCGAGGGCGCCUCGGGCCGAGCUGAGGGCGCCUCGGGAUGCGCCGAGGGUACCUCGGGCUGGACCGAGGGCGCCUCGGGCCGAGCUGAGGGUGCCUCGGGCUACGCCGAGGGUACCUCGGGCUGGACCGAGGGCGCCUCAGGCUCGGGCGAGUCGUCGAUCUUGACGGAGGGUUGAUGCAGAUCCCGGGAGAAGACGUCCAGGGGAACCGUUGUUCGCCCCGAGGCUAUUUUUGCCAGCUCGUCCGCAGUCUCGUUGUAGCGCCGAGCGAUGUGGUUAAGCUCGAGCCCGUAGAACUUGUCUUCCAGGCGCCGAACCUCAUCGCAGUAGGCCUCCAUCUUCGGGUCGCGGUAGUGGGAGUUCUUCAUGACUUGGUCGAUGACGAGCUACGAGUCACCGCGGGCGUCGAGGCGCCUGACCCCUAGCUCGAUGGCGAUCCGCAACCCGUUGACCAGAGCCUCGUACUCAGCCACAUUGUUGGACACCGGGAAAUGGAGGCGUAGCACAUAGCGUAGGUGUUUCCCGAGGGGCGAGAUGAAGAGUAGGCCCGCGCCAGCUCCCGUCUUCAUCAGCGACCCGUCGAAAAACAUGGUCCAAAGCUCUGGUUGGAUCGGAGCCGUCGGCAGCUGGGUGUCGACCCAUUCGGCUACGAAGUCCGCCAAUACCUGGGACUUGAUGGCCUUCCGAGGGGCGAACGAGAUUGUCUCGCCCAUGAUUUCCACCACCCACUUUGCAAUCCUGCCCGAGGCCUCUCGGCACUGGAUGAUCUCCCCCAGGGGGAAGGAUGACACCACAGUUACCGGAUGAGACUCGAAGUAGUGUCGCAACUUCCGCCUCGUCAGGAUCACUGCAUACAGCAGCUUCUGAACUUGUGGGUAGCGGAUCUUGGUCUCGGACAGUACCUCGCUGACGAAGUAAACUGGCCUCUGAACGGGCAAUGCAUGCCCCUCUUCUUGCCUCUCGACCACAAUCGCGACGCUAACCACCUGAGUGGUCGCGGCGACGUAGACCAAGAGGGCUUCCCCAUCAGUUGGAGGCACCAAGAUAGGCGCCUUUGUGAGGAGCGCCUUCAGGUUCCCGAGAGCUUCCUCGGCCUCAGGGGUCCAAGCGAAGCACUCAGCCUUCCUUAAGAGGCGGUACAGUGGCAGGCCUCUUUCGCCGAGGCGUGGGAUGAAGCGGCUCAAGGCCGCAAGACAUCCCAUGACCCUCUGUACGCCUUUUAAGUCCUUGAUGGGCCCCAUGCUGGUGAUGGCUGCGAUCUUCUCCGGGUUGGCUUCGAUGCCCCGCUCGGAGACGAUGAACCCCAAGAGCAUGCCCCGGGGGACCCCGAAGACACACUUCUCGGGAUUGAGCUUGACGCCUUUCGCUUUGAGACAUCGGAAUGUUACUUCAAGGUCGGAGAGGAGGUCGGAAGCUUUCCUUGUCUUGACUACGAUGUCAUCGACGUAGGCCUCGACCGUGCAACCGAUGUGUUGGCCGAACACAUGGUUCAUGCACCGCUGAUACGUCGCGCCCGCAUUCCUCAAUCCGAACGGCAUGGUGACAUAGAAGUACAUGCCGAAGGGCGUGAUGAAAGAAGUCGCGAGCUGGUCAGACUCUUUCAUCCUGAUCUGGUGAUACCCUGAGUAGGCGUCGAGGGAAGACAGGGUUUCGCACCUAGCAGUGGAAUCCACGAUUUGAUCGAUGUGAGGCAGAGGGUAGGGAACCUUCGGACAUGCUUUGUUGAGACCAGUGUAGUCUACAUACAUCCGCCAUUUCCCCCCUUUCUUUCUCACAAGCACAGGGUUGGCAAGCCAUUCGGGAUGGAAUACCUCUUUGAUGAACCCUGCUGCCAUUAGCUUGUGGAUCUCCUCGCCUAUCACUCUGCGCUUCUCCUCGUCGAAUCGGCGCAGAGGCUGCUUGACGGGUCGGGCUCCGGCCCGAAUAUCCAGCGAGUGCUCAGCGACAUCCCUCGGUAUGCCGGGCAUGUCCGAGGGACUCCACGCAAAGACGUCGGCGUUUGCGCGGAGAAAGUCGACGAGCACUGCUUCCUAUUUGGGGUCGAGCCCGGAACCGAUCCGGAUCUGCUUGGAGGUGUCGCCACUGGGGUCGAGAGGGACGGCCUUGACCGUCUCCACUGGCUCGAAGUUGCCGGCAUGGCGCUUCACGUCGGGCACCUCUUUGGAGAGGCUUUCCAGGUCGGCGAUGAGGGCCUCGGACUCGACGAGGGCCUCGGCGUACUCCACGCACUCCACGUCGCAUUCGAACGCGUGUUUGUACGUGGGGCCGACGGUAAUGACCCCGUUGGGGCCCGACAUCUUGAGCUUCAGGUAGGUGUAGUUGGGGAUGGCCAUGAACUUCGCAUAGCAUGGCCUCCCCAGUACCGCGUGGUAGGUUCCUCGGAACCCGACCACCUCGAACGUCAGAGUCUCCCUUCGGAAGUUGGAGGACGUUCCGAAGCAGACGGGAAGGUCGAGUCGUCCGAGGGGCUGGACGCGCUUCCCGGGAAUGAUCCCGUGGAAGGGCGCAGCGCCUGCUCGGACGGAGGACAGAUCGACGCACAGGAGCCUGAGGGUCUCGGCGUAGAUGAUGUUGAGGCAGCUGCCCCCGUCCAUAAGGACCUUGGUGAGCCUGACGUCGCCGAUGAUGGGGUCGACGACGAGCGGGUAUUUCCCGGGCUCGGCACGUGGUCGGGGUGGUCAGCUUGGUCGAAGGUGAUGGGCUUGUCGGACCAGUCUAGGUAGACUGGCGCCGCCACCUUCACCGAGUAGACCUCCUGGCGCUCUUGCUUGCGAUGUCGAGCCGAGGCAUUUGCCGCAUGCCCACCGUAGAUCAUGAAGCAGUCGCGGACCUCGGGGAACUCUCCUGCUUGGUGAUCUUCCUGCUUGUCGUCGUCGCGGGCCCUGCCACCCUCCACGGGUGGCCCGGCCCUGUGGAAGUGGCGCCAAAGCAUGACGCACUCCUCAAGGGUGUGCUUGACGGGCCCCUGAUGAUAGGGGCACGGCUCCUUGAGCAUCUUGUCGAAGAGGUUGGCACCUCCGGGGGGCUUCCGAGGGUUCUUGUACUCGGCGGCGGCGACAAGGUCCACGUCGGCGGCGUCGUGUUUCGCUUGCGACUUCUUCUUGCCUUUCUUCUUGGCGCCGCGCGGAGUAGACGCCUCGGGAGCAUCUUCCGAUGGGCGGCCCUGGGGCUGCUUGUCCUUUCGGAAGAUAGCUUCGACCGCCUCCUGGCCAGAGGCGAACUUGGUGGCGAUGUCCAUCAGCUCGCUCGCCCUGGUGGGGGUCUUGUGACCCAACUUACUCACCAGGUCGCGGCAGGUGGUGCCGGCAAGGAACGCGCCGAUGACAUCCGAGUCGGUGAUGUUGGGCAGCUCGGUGCGCUGCUUCGAGAAUCGCCGGAUGUAGUCCCGGAGAGACUCUCCCGGCUGCUGCCGGCAGCUUCGGAGGUCCCAGGAAUUCCCGGAGCGCACGUACGUGCCCUGGAAAUUGCCGGCGAAGGCUUGGACCAGGUCAUCCCAGUUGGAGAUCUGCCCCGGAGGCAGGUGCUCCAACCAGGCGCGAGCGGUGUCGGAGAGGAACAGGGGGAGGUUGCGGAUGAUGAGGUUGUCGUCGUCCGUUCCACCCAGUUGGCAGGCCAGGCGGUAGUCCGUGAGCCACAGUUCUGGUCUCGUUUCCCCCGAGUACUUUGUGAUAGUAGUCGGGGGUCGAAACCGGGUCGGGAACGGCGCCCGUCGGAUGGCCCGGCUGAAGGCCUGCGGACCGGGUGGUUCGGGCGAGGGACUCCGAUCCUCCCCGCUGUCAUAGCAUCCCCCACGCCUGGGGUGGUAACCUCGGCGCACCCUUUCGUUGAGGUGGGCCCGACGGUCGCGAUGAUGGUGCUCGUUGCCGAGGUGGCCCGGGGCCGCAGGCGCGGUGUUGCGCGUGCGCCCGGUGUAGACCGAGGCUUCCCGCAUGAAUCGGGAAGUCGCGGCAUGAGGUUCCGAGGGGUAUCUCUGCCUUCGGGAGGCAGAGCUCUCAGCCCGUUGGACCGCAGCGCCUUCCAGGAGAUUCUUGAGCUCUCCCUGGAUUCGCCGACCCUCGGUGGUUGAUGGCUCCGGCAUCGCACGGAGAAGCAUCGCUGCUGCAGCCAGGUUCUGACCGACCCCACUGGAUGCGGGUGGUGGCCUGAGCCUGACGCCGUCGGCGACGCGGUGCUGGAGACCCUGGGGCAGGUGACGUAUUUCUCCGGCCGGGGGUUGGCCCGCCCAUGCCUGCCCGACGUCCCGACGGAUCGGCUCAAGCGCUCCUGCUUCCUCGUCGAGCCUGGCCUGCGCCCCGCGGACUUGCUCGAGUUGUGGGUCGUGACCCCCCGCCGGAACGGGGACCACAGCUAGCUCCCGCGGGAUGUCAGCGCGAGGCACCGGCCUAGGGAGAUCACCGUCCUCCGGCAUGCCGAGAUGAUUGCCUUCGGAGGGAUCCCCUAGCUCGACGUGGAAACACUCGCGGCUUGGGCCGCAGUCCUCGUCGUCGGGGCUGCGGCUACCGUCGGAACAGUCGGAGAGGCAGUAGUCACAUGCGGUCAUGAAGUCCCGCAUGGCACUGGGGUUGCCAAAUCCAGAGAAAUCCCAACAGAUGUUGGGGUCGUCAUCUUCCUCGGACCCAGAGGGCCCGUAGGUCGAGACGUCCGUCAGCCGGUCCCAAGGCGACCGCAUGCGAAACCCCAGAGGGUUUGAACUCGCCUCUACGAGAGUGCCCACCAAAGCAAGGUCGCUAGGCGGGUUGUGGCUGAGUCCAAAUGACGUGGGAUGGGAAUCGGUCGGUACCUUUCGGUCGACGAGCAGCGACAUAGUCACGUCGGGGACUGAUUGCACCGCCGUCUCAGGUACGAGGGCGACGUCCUGCAAGCUCUCCGCGAGCGCGCUGGCGUCGUCCACUUGCUCGGGAUUGGCGUGUCGCGGGGAGACGGCGCUCGCCUUCGUCUCAAACGCGAGGUCGACGCCCGGCGCGCCUCCCGUUGGAGCGCUGGGGACGUCGACUCGCUCGACAGCCGACGAGGCGCGGCCUCCCGCUUGGCCUUGGUUGCCCCGCCUCCUCCUCCGUUGGCGGGGGAGAGGACGGGGUGAGCUCGAAUGUUGUUCUUCCACCGUGCGGGGAAGACGUCGUCGAUCCCGCCGCCGGCGGGCGGGCUGUCGGCCGCCAUCGUCGUUGUCGCGCGGCGGUGGAAGGAGUAUCAUGUCGUAGCUGCCGUCGAAGGACAUGAACUCAAGACUCCCGAAACGGAGCACCAUCCCAGGCCGGAGAGGUUGCUGGAGACUGUCCAUCUGGAGCUUGACGGGAAGCUGUUCGUCAACACGCAGCAGGCCCCUACCUGGCGCGCCAACUGUCGGCGUUUCGAGACCGGGGGUUCCCUAAGCCGACGAGUGAAUGUCGCCGCGUGCCCCAGCCCAGAUGGGUCGAGCGCGUGGGCGAGCGCGAAGGGGGGAAGUGAGGUGGCCGGAGAUGGGUGUGAGAGAGGUGGAAAUCCCGCGGCCUUCGUGUUCGUCCCGCGCCCAGGUCGGGUGCGCUUGCAGUAGGGGGUUACAAGCGUGCACACGGGAGAGGGAAGCGAGCGGCCCCAAGAGAGCGCCUGUCCCGUCCUCGUCCCCGCGCGGCCAACCUUCUCUAAGAGGGCCCUGGUCCUUCCUUUUAUAGGCAUAAGGAGAGGAUCCAGGUGUACAAUGGGGGUGUAGCAGAGUGCUACGUGUCUAGCGGGGGAGAGCUAGCGCCCUAAGUACAUGCCGAUGUGGCAGCCGGAGAGAUCUUGGCACCCAGCUGGUGUGAUGUCGUGGCCGUCGGAGGAGCGACGGAGCCUGGCGGAGGGACAGCUGUCGGAGCGGUUGAGUCCUUGCUGACGUCCUCCUGCUUCCGUAAGAGAGCUGAGAGUCGCCGUCGUCACAGAGCUUGCGGGGCGCCAUCAUUGCCUAUCUGGCGGAGCUAGCCAGAUGGGACACCGGUCUUGUUCUCUGCGGCCCGAGUCAGCUCGGGGUAGGGUGAUGAUGGCGCUUCCUGUUGACGUGGCUGGCUUGCGCCCUAGGUUGGGCGACGUGGAGGCUCCUCCGAAGCCGAGGUCGAGUCUGUCUUCCGUGGCCGAGGCCGAGUCCGAGCCCCUGGGUCGGGCGAGGCGGAGGUCGUUCGGCAGAGGCCAGGGCGGAGUCCGAGCCCUGGGGUCGGGCGAAGCGGAGUUCGUCGUCUUCUGGGGCUGAGCCCGAGUCCGAGCCCUGGGGUCGGGCGAAGCGGAGUUCGUCGUCUUCUGGGGCUGAGCCCGAAUCCGAGCCCUGGGGUCGGGCGGAGCGGAGUUCGUCGUCUUCUGGGGCUGAGCCCGAGUCCGAGCCCUGGGGUCGGGCGAAGCGGAGUUCGUCGUCUUCUGGGGCUGAGCCCGAAUCCGAGCCCUGGGGUCGGGCGGAGCGGAGUUCACCGUCUUCCGGGACUUAGCCCGAGUCCGAGCCCUGGGGUCGGGCGGAGCGGAGUUCGCCGUCAUCCGGGACUUAGCCCGAGUCCGAGCCCUGGGUCGGGCGGAGCGGAGUUCGCCAUCUUCCGGGACUUAGCCCGAGUCCGAGCCCUGGGUCGGGCGGAGCGGAGCUUCCUAUGGUGCCUUUGGCAGGGCCUGACUGCCUGUCAGUUUCACUCUGUCAAGUGGCACUGCAGUCGGAGUGGCGCAGGCGGCGCUGUCCUUUUGUCAGGCCGGUUAGUGGAGCGGCGAAGUGACGGCGGUCACUUCGGCUCUACCGGGGGGCGCGUGUCAGGAUAAAGGUGUCAGGCCACCUUUGUGUUAAAUGCUCCUGCGAUUCGGUCGGUCGGUGCGGCGAUUCAGUCAGGGUUGCUUCUUAGCGAAGGCAGGGCCUCGGGCGAGCCGGAGAUGUGUCCGCCGUUGGAGGGGGGCCUCGGGCGAGACGGAAAUCCUCCAGGGUCGGCUGCCCUUGUCUGAGGCUAGGCUUGGGCGAGGCAUGAUCAAGUCGCUCGUAUGGACUGAUCCCUGACUUAAUCGCACCCAUCAGGCCUUUGCAGCUUUAUGCUGAUGGGGGUUACCAGCUGAGAAUUAGGAGUCUUGAGGGUACCCCUAAUUAUGGUCCCCGACAGUUAUAUUUCAGUGGAGCCCACUUUACAUGAGCAGAUAGUCAUGGCACAGGUUGGUGACAAGGGUGUUCAAGUCAUUAAGGAAAUGUUCGAACAAAAGGUGGACAAAUACAAAUGCUUCUGUCAGGACAACAAAGGAAUUCUAUGGUUUGGAGACCGAUUGGUUUUUCCCAAGAACCCCAAUCUUAGAAAGAAAAUAUUGGAUGAAGCUCACCUUUCCAAAUUCUCCAUGCACCCCGGUAGUAACAAGAUGUAUCAUGAUCUUAGAUCCUUGUACUGGUGGACCAGAAUGAAGAGGGAAAUUGCUAAGUAUAUAUCUGAGUGCGACACUUGCCAAAGAGUCAAGGCCAGUCAUUUGAAGGUGGCAGGCUCUUUACAGCCCCUUCCCAUACCAUCUUGGAAAUGGGAGGAUAUUUGCAUGGAUUUCAUUGUGGGAUUGCCCAGCACUUCCCAGCACCACGAUUCUAUUUGGGUCAUUGUGGAUAGGUUGACCAAGACAACUCAUUUCUUGCUAGUAGAUACCACAGGGCAAAGAAGUAUGCAGAAAUCUACAUUGACCAGAUAGUUUGCUUGCAUGGAAUACCAAGGACUAUUGUGUAUGACAGAGGAGCACCAUUUGUAGCAUGUUUCUGGGAGCAAUUGCAAGAAUCACUUGGGACCCAUGUAAUAAGAAGCUCAGCAUACCACCCUCAAACAGAUGGUCAGAAAGAAAGGGUAAAUCAGAUUUUGGAAGACAUGUUGAGGGCAUGUGUGAUACACUAUGGGAAGGAUUGGGACAAGUGUCUUUCAUUGGCGGAGUUCUCUUACAAUAACAACUACCAGUCCAGCCUAAAGAUGGCACCUUUUGUGGCCUUGUAUGGGAGAAGGUGUAGGACACCGCUAAAUUGGUCACAAGCUGAAGAGAGGGAAAUAUUUGGACCUAACUUGGUACUAGAAUUAGAGGAGAAAGUCAGAAUCAUUAAGAGGAACUUAGAGGCUGUUCAGACCAGGCAAAAGAGCUAUCAUGACAAGAGGAGGAAGCCUCUACAGUUUGAAGUGGGAGAUCAUGUUUAUCUUAAGGUGUCACCCACCAAAGGUGUUCAGAGAUUUGGAAGCAAGGGCAAUUUAGCUCCUCGCUACAUUGGGCCCUAUGAGAUCAUAGAAACUUGUGGACCUGUAGCAUAUCAAUUGAAGUUGCCGCCCCAUAUGUCAGCAGUUGAUGAUGUCUUCCACGUAUCUCAGCUACGAAAGUGUGUCCGCUUACCCACAGAAGUGCUACCUGAACCAGAAUUGGAGAUAGAACUAGACUUGUCCUAUCAAGAGCACCCCAUCAAGGUAUUGGACCAAAAGGAGAGAUCAACGCGGGCAAGGUCGAUCAGGAUGUAUAAGGUUCAGUGGAGUCACCAUUCAGUAGAAGAUGCUACGUGGGAGACUGAGGAUUUUCUACGUUCUCGCUUCCCCAACUUUCUAACCAAAGGAGUCGGUACAUAAUCCAAAAACCCCACCCCCACCUGCCCUUUGAAUAUAAAUAUAAGAAAAACCUAGAUGUUAAGAGUAGAGUGAGUUGUGGAAAGAAAUCAAAAAGGGCUUCCAUCUGAAUUUGCAAAGAGAAUGACAUUCGAAGAGCAGUUAACUAGAGAAACUUGGCUGAAGGAAAAUGCAACACAUAGCACACCUUCUUUGUACCCCUUAAAGGAUCCCUACCCAAAAUCUCAAGGCGAGAUUCCUUUAAGGGGGGAGGGUUGUAACACCUCAGGUGUUACCAAGACACUGGCUUCAUACUUGCACUAAGGACCUAUUAUCACAUGUGGUUAAUUGGAGUAGCAGAAGCACAUAAGACUUUGGAAGCAUGAGUUAGCUAAGAAAUGUUAAGGACAAAAGCAUUACCCAAGCAUUUAUGCAAUAAUCACCUUGGGCAAGAGAGGAUUAAACCCUAGACCCUUCUUGAGCCCUUAACUCCCAAAACCCUGGUUUAAGGGAAAUGUUAAACAAAUGUGCAAAUCAUGAGUUAACCCUUAACCAAAGUUUAAGUAACAUUAUAAUCUACAAAAUGUAGAGGGGAAACAUUACAAAAAGACCCCUUAAAGACCCCAAAUCCAUUCUUUAAGUAGAAAGCACCCUAGAGCUCUCUAAUUCUCUCUAAGUCAAAAUUUAACCCUAAUCUAGAGAUCAGAUAUGUUCACUUAGUAAAUGGCACCAAAACCACUUGGUCUAAAUAUCAAAAAGGUGCCAAACCACCUAAGGCACCCACUGGAAAUGUUUGAACCCGAGCUAAAUUCGUUUGACAUGAUUUGGCAUCACUUUUGUCGCAAGGUGGAGAGUGAGACAAGCCAGAUUUGGCGUCCGCAAAUCUUCUGACCUAGGGCUUAUCUCCCCUUGGAACUCACAUACAAGAGAUAGCCAUAGGUACCAGGAACAUGUCUGCACCGGAUUUCUGCCAAGAUUCGCAUGUUUGCGAUCUCAGCAAGCUUUUGAACAUGGGCAGAAGAACACCUCCACGUGUUCGACGCGCCCUGAACGCGCUAGAGCACGCCCGACGCCCGAACCCGCGCGCCCCGCGCCGCGCCAAGCCACGCCCGUGUCCCCUGCCCGCGCCUGCGCCUAUAAAGCCAGCCAAGGCUUCAGUCGUACGCCCUCGCUCGCUCUCGACCUCACCGGAGUACGAGAUCGCCGGAGUUUGCCCUGCACACGGCAUGCCAGCGGCCGCCCGAGCACCCGCCACCUUAAACCGGCAUGCCCUAACUUCUAUUCAUAUCCAGUAAGAACUCCAAAAGCAAGUCAACUCCUAUUAGAGUAAGUAGUAAGUAGAGUUUAGGGAGGUUGAGGAGUGGAAGCUUGCUGUGGCCUAAAGGCUAGUAUCAUAAAGGUGUGUAAGUUCAACUCUUGUAGAGCCUCCACUUUUCUUUCCAUGGAUCACACAGUGAGCGUAUUUGGUAUUUGGAUAUUAUCUGUAUCAAUGACCUGGUGAAUCCUCUUACUCUUAAUAAAUCAUUAGACAAAAUUAAUAAACUAGAAAAGAUCGAUAUCAAGAUAAAACUUGCACAUUUUCCAUUCUGAAAUGUUCCAUAGUAGGUGAAUCACUUUAACUAAUUAAAAAUUCUCAAAAUUAGUGGACUUCCUCUUCGAAAUAGAAAUUGGCUAUUUCCACAUAGGGAAAGUCGUGUGCAAUGAAAAAUGCAAGCACGAUUUGGGGAGGGGUUUUUUCUAUUGUAACAAGGAAGAAUUAUCUACUCCAUCCGACUAGUUCCGGGUUCGAGUCCCGGGCAACCCAUAUGGAAAAUAGAAAAGAGCAAUCUGAGUUUUUCAUUUUUAUUAACUUCAUUUCCCAAAUUUUUGGAUUUGGUAAAUGAAGUUAUACGAAAAUCCAAUCGUUGGGGCUGGCUUGGUUGACAUUGGUAUAUAGACUAUGUUAUACUGUUAAAUAACAAGCCUUCUAUUAUCUAUUUUCUUUCUAGUUAAUACGUGUGCUUGGGAGUCCUUGCAAUUUGAAUAAACCAAGAUCUUACCAUGACUGCAAUUUUAGAGAGACGCGAAAGUACAAGCCUGUGGGGUCGCUUCUGCAACUGGAUAACUAGCACCGAAAAGCAGAGCCAUUCCCAGCCCUGU
rnacentral:lncRNA from 1 species